UGGACGAAGGUCCAAAAAAACACCUUCCCUUUGCUAGAAUAGCAAUAGUCAAUGACAAGUGGGGCCCUGCCACUUGCAACGUAUUGGGCGUAUAAAUAAGAACGCACCACGAGCACAUUUAGCACGCUUUCUUGCCGUCUGCUCUUGCCUUCCUAAUUUUUAGCUCUUUGCACACCAACACUUGCCUAGCUUUUUAAAUUUUUAAGCUUCGUCUUUGAGAGCACUUUCUUAGCAUUUUCGAAGAUGUCUGAAGACAAGAAAGUUGUCGCUGAGUCGAAGCUAAGCCUUUCCGAAGAGAUGAAUCUCGGCUUCCUUGAAUCAAUAGCAAAGACAAACACAGAGAAGAUUACUAAGGAGAUUUUAGAGGGCCUAUCUGAAGACAUUGGUGAUAGUGACAGUUAUGAUGUGGAAAGUGGCGGUGAAGAUUCCGGAGAUCGACCCUGGCGACCAAGGCAUGCAGUUUUUGGAAAAUCAAGCAUUAAACAAAGCCAUCUUGUCAAUAUGAGGGGUAGAUAUUUUCGGGAUUUAUCUAUUGUGAGGGCUGACAAAGGAGAGAAAACUUGUCCGACUCCUGAGGAGAAUGAAGUCGUGAUAUUCCGAAGUUUCUUUAAGGCUGGGCUUCGGUUUCCUUUGAGCAGUUUCGUGGUAGAAGUUUUGAAGAUAUUUGAAAUCUGCCUUCAUCAAAUUACUCCCAAAGCAAUCAUGAGGAUGGGAAUCUUCGUAUGGGCCGUGAAGAGCCAAGGUUUGGAGCCAAAUGCAAAAAGUUUCUGUAGCAUGCAUGAGUUAUUAUAUGAGACAAAACCCUGGGGUAAAGAGCAAUACCAUAACAAUUUUGGCUGUUACAGCUUCGGUGCCCGCUCUGGGUCAAGCUGUCUCGUGCCAACUUUUUGGAAGAGAUGGCCUGGGGACUGGAUGAAGGAAUGGUUCUAUGUGAAAAACGACUUGAAGACACGAGAAGAUAUUAAAUAUAUCAUCAUGCGCCCCAUCUGGCAGCAUUUUGGCCUUCGGAAACCGAAGGUGGAUAUUGACGAAGCAGUCGGAGAGCCUUCGGUGUAGUUUGUUCUUUCAUCAGGACGAGGGAUUUGAUCCAGGAGCAUAUUGCCUUCAGAGUAUGGCCACUUGUGGAAAAGUGGGAAAUACCAAAGGAAACCAUCAGCAAACCUUACGAAGGUGGAAUAGUUAGGCUAAAAUAUACCUUCAGAUAUGGAGAUCAGUUUGUCGAGCCAGAUGAUGAUUGGCUGAAAUGUAUUGAGGCCACAAACGAUGAACUGCUUGGACCAUAUUCAAAGGCAGAAGAUACUGCACUGUCUGCAGCCUUCGGAGGCCGGAAGAAGAAAAGGCUCAAUCGAGUAUUUGAUGCCAUUGGGUUCGCCUAUCCUGACUAUCGUUACCCAACACGGGGUCAAAAAAGGAAAGAUACAGCUUCUGUGAAGGAAGCUGCUUCAGUAGCUCUUAAUGAGCCAUUGCCGACGAGGAAAAAGAUGAAGGUUCUUACACACCAGCCAUGCUAUAUUGAACCGGCCACAGUGCCCGAGUUUGUCGGUGAAACCUCUUCGGCCACCAAAGCCAAGGAGCCGACUCCCCUGCCGAAUAUUGAAGAGCCGGUCAUAAUGCCGGAGAUGGAGAAAAUAGAAGAACCGAAGGCUAAAGAAACAAGGACAUCUGAAAUUUUAAGUCCUUCAGCAAAAGUUACAGUACCAAAAGAAAAAGGAUGGUUAAUGUACUGGAUGUAUUGGAGACAAUAAAGUCUUCAAGCACUACUCCGAAGAAAAUUGCCGAAACUCCCGAAGUGCAAAUCGAAGCCUUUGGUGCCGAAGCUUCAAAGCACCAAGCUGAGACUGAAGCUGGGCCUUCAAAGCCCACCAAGGUGAAAUCCUUGGAAACCAAAGAAACAAAAGCAGCAGAACAAAUUUUGGCUGAAGAAACUGGCACUGUCGCCCUCGAAGCAUUUUCCGAAGCUUUCAAUUAUAUUUUACGACAUGCUUCGGGGAAAGAGUUGACUGAAAAAGAAAAGCAAGAGGCUCAGUUCUAUGCCCAAAAACUGAAAUAUCCAAAGGGGGCGUUGAUAUUCAACGGUAGCGGAGAAGAAGACUUCUUGUAUUGUCUCCCUGACAGCAAGGAGAUUUCUGUCUAUCGGGAGAUGAGCAAGAGCUUCGGAUUCCCAACAUUAGAAGACGGGCUCUCGGUGUUGUCAAAAAAUGAGCUGGCCGACAGCUUGGCGUACAAUAGCUUAAAGGUGAAAAAAUGAGAUCUUUGUAUUAUUCCUUGAAACCAAAAUUUUUCGUUUGCCUGAACUUAUUAACGCAUUUUUUACAGGGCCUUAUACUUAGCAAUGCCCUCAGGGCACAAAAAGAUGCCGAAGACGAAGGGUGUACCAUAGCCUUGAGCAACCUUCGUUCCGAAGUAAUUGAACUAAGGAACGAAGGUCUCAAAAAAGAUAAAAUAUUACAUUCGCUUGUGAAUAGAAUAAAAGAAGAUGAAGCUGCUUUCAAAGCUCAAGCUGAGGCUCAGAAGCGCAAAAUUGAGGAUCUUCGGAAACAACUAGCCAGAGCUAAAGAAGAAUGCACGGUUGAAGAAGCCAAACGAGAAAUUAGUGAACAAUGGGCAAAUCAUCUAGAGAAAAAUGUUGAAGAGCUUCGUGCAUCCAAGAAAAGGUGUUAUGAAAAAUCUGUAGAAUGUGAUAAGAAAAUAAGAACCUGCUUCGCCAGCGUUGGCGCAUUCUCAAGUGAAGAAAAUUUCAUAAGGGGCAACCCCGAGGGCCCAAUUGGAUGGAUCAGCCACGAAGCUGAAGCUUUUGAAGAAGUUUUGAAUAGCCGCAGAGACAUUUGUGCCUUCUCAGGUGCUAGGGGGAUUGCCAUUGUUUUGGAGAAAAAAGGUUGCGAUCACGUGAAAUCCUUGGCACAAACCGAAGCCGACUUGUCCCCUGAAGACAUAAAAGACCCUUCAGCCGAGGCAAGUCUGGUUGGUGGAAAAUUUUUCACCGACAUCUGGGACAAUGGUGGCCGGGAGAUGGCCCAAGAAAUUAUACGAAAAAGCGAGAAAGGUAUUCAUGACGCUAGAAAAGUAGCAGAGGCCGCUGAGAAAAGUGCGGAUCUCGAAGGGCAAAUAGGUAUUGACUAGUAGUUUUUGGCUCUUUGUUGUAAUUUUUUGAUUUCGAACUUGUUUACACUUUUGUAACACAGCCGCACUUUCUCCUCCCUCAGAGCCUGCCGAGCCAUCGGCGAUCCCCCACGCGAAGGGGGACGACGAAAUUAGAAAAAUGGCCGAAGCUAUCAUGGAUAAAGUUGUUGAUCAACUACUAAACGAAGCUGCAGAAGUAGUUCUAAGGGAAGAUUAGAUGUUAUUGUAAAAAUAUUUGGAAUGUAAUAUUUGUUGAACAACAUGUGUAAUAUUUUGUAACUUUGAAUGUAAUAUAUAAGCUAUUUAUGGUUCAAUUAUUUACGAUGCAUGAAACUUUACAUACAUACCGUUUUUUGAGCCUUCGGCGAAAAAACACCUUCCCUUCUUUUCAUGCUUCGUAAAUAAUAUCUGUAUUUUCAUAAAAACAUCCAAUCGUCGUAAAAUCAGUAACCAAUAGAUCUUUUCAUUUCGGAGUUUGACGAAGGUAUGCUUCUUUGAUAAUUAUUCUUGUGCCUUGGCACUGUUUCUUCGAAACAAUCUUCGAAUAUCAACAUUGAACCCCCUUCUUGCAUCAUUGAUGCAAUAUGAUGUAUGAUGUUAUGCUAUGCAAAUGAUGUGAUGAUGUGAUGUUAUGCAAAAUGAUAUUUGCCGAAGAUCGACGUUUAUUUUUCACUUUAAGCCUCCCUUAGGAGCUUCUUCGCCUUUUACAUCAGCGGAAUCAGCGUUUAUUUUUCGUUGUAAGCCUCCCUUAGGAGCUUCUUCGCCUUUUACUUUCAGCGGCAUCAGUGUUUAUUUUUCGUUGUAAGCCUCCCUUAGGAGCUUCUUCGCCUUUUACUUUCAGCGGAAUCAGCGUUUAUUUUUCGCUGUAAGCUCUGCAUUCCCUUCGGAACGACUUUUGAGCAGAAAACUUACGCUGCGCUCCCUUAGGAACGACUUUUUGUUAUUUCUGAGAUUCUCCUUGUAGCCAUAAAUUCUUAUGCUUCGGCAACUCCGUUAUUCUAUGAAGAAGGUAUAUUUUUACUGUGGCGAAAACGAAGCUAUUACAAGAAAUUGAAAACGACAAAAAGCACUUAAGCUUUCAAUAAUUGUUCCUUAUUAAAAAGAAAAUGAUACUGAAUGUAAAAACUGCUUCCAAGGUAGGAUAUUUGUUAGUAAAUAUGAUUCGAUUCUGGCACAGUACUAUUGAUUGUGCGAGCUUCGGACUCUUCUCUGAAGUCCCGUUGGAGGUGGGUAUGCUGACUCCCUUCUGGCUGCUGGCCUCGUUGCAUUGGUGGUGGAGGUGGAGGCUGUUGCCAAGAUGCCUGAGGUUGGCUUGCCGAAGCAACAGAAGCUGCAGGGUGGUUGCCUACAUACUCUGGAAUGUAAGGCGAAUGGUACGAAGCAGUGUGCAUAACUUGCUUCAGCUGACUCUGUUGGGCUGCAGCUUCUGCUAUCUCCUUUUGUUUCUGGAUGGUAACAUGGCACAUGCUGGUGGUAUGGCCCUUGUCCUCACCACAGAAUAGGCAAUAAAUCUUCCUGGGCUGAUCCCCAAAUCUUCCUCCAAAGCCCCUGGCACCUCUGCCCCUUGGAGCUGGAGGCCGAGGAUAGCUCUGCUGCUGCCCCGAAGCCUGGGAGGAAUAUUGCGGCCUCUGCUGCUGGCUUCCCCUGUCAUCACUCUGAGUGUUAUGAAUCGAUCUGACAUGUCUAGGAUGAAUUCUUCCUCCGAAGCCCCUAGCUAUUUCGGAGAACCUGUAAGCUUCCUCCCUUCUCUGUCGAAAGUCAUUGUCAGCGCAGAUGUAUUCAUCCAUCUUCUGAAGCAGUUUUUUCAGUGUCUGAGGGGGCUUCCUGGCAAAGUAUUGGGCUGAAGGUCCCGGCCGGAGCCCCUUAAUCAUGGCCUCAAUGCCAAUUUCAUUGGGCACUGUUGGCGCUUGUGCCCUCAGGCGUAAGAACCUUCGGACAUACGCCUGAAGAUAUUCUUCGUGAUCUUGGGUGCACUGGAACAAAGCUUGAGCGGUGACUGGCUUCGUUUGAAACCCUUGGAAACUGGUGAUCAGCAUAUCCUUCAGCUUCUGCCAUGAUGUGAUUGUUCCUGGCCGAAGGGAGGAGUACCAGGUUUGUGCAACAUUCUUGACGGCCAUGACGAAAGACUUCGCCAUAACUGCAGUGUUCCGCCAUAGGAAGACAUUGUUGCUUCGUAGCUCAUCAGAAACUGCUUCGGAUCUGAAUGUCCGUCGUACAUGGGGAGUUGAGGUGGCUUGUAAUACGGAGGCCAAGGUGUAGCCUGCAGUUCUGCUGACAGAGGAGAAGCAUCAUCAAAAGCAAAAUUUCCAUGAUGGAAAUCCUCAUACCAAUCAUCCUCGUUGACAAAGCCCUCUUGAUGAAGCUCUCUGUGCUGAGGCCUUCGGUUCUGCUCAUCUUGAGCAAGAUGGCGAACUUCUUCAGAGGCUUCGUCUAUCUGCCUUUGCAGGUCAGCUAGCCUAGCCAUCUUUUCCUUCUUCCUUUGCACCUGCUGAUGGAGCAUCUCCAUAUUUCUGAUCUCUUGAUCCAAGUCGUCCUCCUGAGGCGUUGGACUGGUGGCCUUCCUCUUCUGGCUUCGGGCCUCCCGAAGAGAGAUGGUCUCCUGGUUAGGAUCCAGCGGCUGCAGAGCGGCAGCCCCUGUUGCUGAAGCUUUCUUUGGCGGCAUGACGAAGGUCUAUGCUUGCCGAAGGUGUUCAAAACUCAAAAAGUGGAAGUGAGUUCACCGGAGGUGGGCGCCAAUGUUGGGGACUUGUUCUCAAAUGCUAAGAGUUAAGAACAAGGCAACAUAAAAAAUGUUAAAUGUUAAAGUCCUUCGUCCUUCGAAGCAUUAUCUCCCUUCGGAUAUAAUGAAUCCCGGACGAAGGUUAUGAAGGGCAAGCCUUCAUAAGCACAAUAAAUAACGGAGAAGGAUUCAUACACAAGAUAUGAAAAAUAAUAUAAACACUUUAAACAUUGUUAUUAACUUAUUUUUAUUUGCGUUAUUGUAUUAACAAUAACAAAUUACAAAUGUACCUUCGGCUCGAAGGAAAGCAAGGGUACAAGCGUGACGCGAAAGCAAAUGCCAAGUCAGCGUGAACAGUACGGGGAUACUGUUCACCUAUUUAUAGGCACGGGACGCAGCCCAUGUAAAAUUACACCCAUGCCCUUUACAUUUGCUAAUGACCCUAUAGUAAUCCAUCGAGGUCGGAAUAGCCUUUUCCUUUUUAAGUCGGUUCCCUUUUCUGCUGUCAUGCCGAAGCUCUCCUGCACAUAGCUUCGGCUCUGCGCCAACCUUCGUGUUCUUUGUGCCUCUUCAUGUUGUAGUUCUGAUCCAAAUCUGAAGAUACCUGUUCAUGUAUUAUACUCCAGAAACAUUGUUAAAUCAUGUUUUUGAGGACCUUCGAAAGCCGAAGGCCCCUGUUGGGGGCCUUCGGCUUCCGAAGGUCCUCAAAAACGUGAUUUAACAAUGUUUUCUAAGUAUGCGAGCAGGUUUCUUCGGAAUCAGGAAUCAGGUUGCGGGUAUACAGAAGCAUGGUCAAGACGAAGCUUGACUGGGACGGCGAUCGUGACGAAGGAUAAGAUGAUCACGAAGCUAUAUGCAGAAGAGCUUCGGCAUCACGGCGGAAAGGGGAAACCGACUUAAAGAUGAAAAGCCAAACUAGACCUCGAAGAAUUACUAUAGGGUUAUUGAUAAAUGUAAAGGGCAUUAUUGUAAUUUUGCAUGGGCUGCGACUCGUGCCUAUAAAUAGGUGAACAGUAUCCCUGUACUGUUCACGCUGACUUGGCAUUCACUUUUACGCCACGCCUGUAUUUUCUUUCCUUCAAGCCGAAGGUACAUUUGUAAUUUAUCUUUGCAUACACAAGUUAUAUAAAUAGAAAUAUAUUAAUAAUAAUGAUGUUUAAAGAAAUUAUGCUACUUUCUAUUCUUUGUUUGAAUGUUUUUCAUCUUUUACCAUGAUCAUGAAGGUACAUCCUUCACGACCUUCAUCCUAAAUUUGUUAUAUCCGAAGGGAAAUAACGAUUUGAAGUACGAAGGGCUUUUGAUAUUUAACAUUUUAUGUUGCCUUGUUCUUGAUUCAUAGCACUUGAGAACAAGUCCCCAACAUUAGCGCCCACCUCCGGUGAACUCACUUCCAUUUUUUGAGUCUUGAACAAUUUCGGCAAGCAUCACCUUCAUCAUGCCGCCGAAAAAGCUUCAGCGACAGGGGCUGGUACUUUACAGCCGCUGGAUCCCAAUCAGGACGUCCUUUCUCUUAGAGAGGCCCGAAGCCAGAAGAGGAAGGCUGUUAGUCCAACACCUCCGGAGGAUGACCUGGAUCAGGAGAUUCAAAACCUGGAGAUCCUUCAGCAACAGGUGCAGCGCAAGAAGGAGAAGAUGGCUCGUCUAGCUGACCUUCGGAGAUAGAUAGACGAAGCUUCUGAAGAGGUUCGUCAUCUUGUUCAAGAUGAUCAGAGCCCAAGGCCUCCAUGCAGAGAGAUCCAUCAGGAAGGCUUCCACAAUGAGGACGACUGGUAUGAAGAUUUCCAUCACGGAAACUUUUCUUUCGAUGAUGAUUCUCCUCUCUCAACAGAAUUGCAGGCUACACCAUGGCCCCAGUCUUACAAGCCACCCCAGCUUCCCAUGUAUGACGGUCAUACAGACCCGAAGCAAUUCUUGAUGAGUUACGAAGCAACCAUAUCUUCGUAUGGUGGCAAUACUGCAGUCAUGGCAAAAUCUUUUGUCAUGGCCGUCAAGAGCGUCGCUCAGACCUGGUACUCUUCUCUUCGGCCAGGGACAAUCACUUCUUGGCAGAAGUUGAAGGACAUGCUGAUAACUAGCUUCCAAGGGUUUCAGACGAAGCCAGUCACUGCUCAAGCUUUAUUUCAGUGUACCCAAGACCACGAAGAAUACCUCCAAGCGUACGUCCGAAGGUUUCUGCGUCUGAGGGCACAAGCGCCAACAGUGCCCAAUGAAAUUGUCAUUGAGGCCAUGAUUAAGGGGCUUCGGCCGGGACCUUCAGCGCAGUACUUUGCCAGGAAGCCACCACAAACGUUGGAGAAGCUGCUUCAGAAGAUGGACGAAUACAUUCGAGCUGACAAUGACUUCCGCCAAAGAAGGGAGGAAGCAUUCAGGUUCUCUGAAAUGACCAGGGGCUUCGGAGGAAGAUUUCACCCGAGGCACGUUAGGUCAAUUCAUAACUCUGCUCAAACUGAUGAUCGAGGGAGUCAGCAGCAAAGGCCACAAUACUCUUCACAAGCUUCGGGCCAGUAGCAAAGUUCUUUUUGGCCGCCAGCGCCAAGGGGCAGAGGCGCCAGGGGCUUCGGGGGAAGGUUUAGAGAUCAGCCAAGAAAAAUUUAUUGCCUAUUCUGUGGUGAAGAUAAGGGCCAUACCACCAGGAUGUGUCACGUUACCAUCCAGAAGCAGAAGGAAAUAGCAGAAGCAGCUGCGCAACAAAGUCAGCCAAAGCAGGUCAUGCAUACUGCUUCGUAUCAUUCGCCUUAUAUUCCAGAAUAUGUAGGCAACCACCCUGCAGCUUCUGUUGCUUCGGCAAGCCAACCCCAAGCAUCUUGGCAGCAUCCUCCACCACCACCGCCGACGCAGCGAGGACAGCAGCCAGAAGGGAGUCAAAACAAUCACCUUCAGAGGGACUUCAGAGAGGAGUCUGAAGCUCGCACAGUCAAUAACACUGUGCCAGAGUCAAAGCACAUUUAUUGAUAAAUAUCCUAUCUCAACAGCAAUUUUUUCGCAUUUUUACAUUCAGUACUACCUUUUUGUCAAUAAGGAACAAUUAUGAGAAGUUUAUGUGUUUUUUAUCCUUUUUCAAUUUCUUGUAACACUUUCUCCUUUUUACCAUAAUAAAAAUAUGUCCUUUCCGUAGGCUUGAGUUGCCGAAGCAUACGACUUUAUGGUGGCAUGAAGGACCUUUGUAUUAUCAAAAAUUUGUUUUAACAGACACAGUGCAACUUCUGCAAAACACUGAAAAGUCGUUUCUAAUGGAGCGCAGUGUAAGUUUUCUGAAUCUACAGCGAAAAAUAAACGCUAAUUCCGCUGAAAGUAAAAGGCGAAGAAGCUCCUAAGGGAGGCUUACAGCGAAAAAUAAACGCUGAUUCCGCUGAAAGUAAAAGGCGAAGAAGCUCCUAAGGGAGGCUUACAGCGAAAAAUAAACGCUGAUUCCGCUGAAAGUAAAAGGCGAAGAAGCUCCUAAGGGAGGCUUACAGCGAAAAGUCAGCGCUGAUAUAUAAAAGUAUGUGUGCUCUAUUACAGGGAUUUAUAUCCGUGGCGCAAAUAUCAUUUUGCAUGACAUAACAUCAUCACGUCAUUUUUGCACAACAUAAGCAUCAUACAACAUAUUGCAUGUGGAACAAGAAGGGGAUACAGUGUUGAUCUUCGGAGAAUAUCUUGGAAAAGAGAAAAUUGUGCUAAGGCACAAGAUAAAUCGAGACGCAACACAAAACUUUUUUAUACCUUCGGAGAAUAUUUCACGAAGCUUGGAUAUUCUUCAUCAGAGAAGUAAGCAAAUUCUUGUGAUAUAGAAAAGAUUUUCUUCACGAAGCAUGAAAAGAAGGGAAGGUGUUUUUUCGCCGAAGGCUCAAAAAAUGGUAUGUAUGCAAAAUUUCAUGCAUCGUAAAGAAUUAAACUAUAGAUUAUAUAUUACAUUCAAAGUUACAAUAUAUUACACAUGUUACAUUCCAAAUGUUUCUACAGUAACAUUCAAUCCUCCUUAAGCACUAUUUCUGCAGCUUCAUUCAAUAGUUGGUCGACAACCUUGUCCAUAAUGGCUUCGGCCAUUUUUCUAAUUUCAUCGUCCCCCUUCGGGUGGGGGCCCGGAGAUGCCUCAGCAGGUUCUGAGGGAAGAGAAGAUACGGCUAUAUUACUAUUACAAACCGCGAACAAAGUCUCGAAUUAAAAAUUACAGCAUAAUAAAAACCACUAAUUAAUACCUAUUUGCCCUUCGGGCUCUGUACUUUUCUCCGCAGCUUCUGCUACUUUUCUGGCAUCGUGGAUGCCUUUUUCACUCUUUUGAAUAAUUUCUCGCGUCAUUUCUCGGCCGCCGUUGUCCCAGAUAUCGGUGAAGAAUUUUCCGCCGACCAUGCUUGCUUCGGCUGAGGGGUCUUUAAUAUCUUCAGAGGACAAGGUAGCUUCGGUCUGCGCUAAGGAUUUUACAUGCUCGCAGCCUUUCCUCUCCAAAACAGCAGCAAUCCCUCUAGCACCCGAAAAAGCGCAGAUGUCACCGCGGCUGUUCAGGAUUUCCUCGAAGGCCUCUGCUUCGUGACUGAUUCAUUCCAUUGGACCUUCAGGAUUGCCUUCUCUUCACUAGAGAAUGCGCCAACGCUGGCGAAGCUGGAUUUUAUCUUCUUAACGCACUCUAUGGAUUUAACAUAGCAUUUUCUCUGGGAUGCACGAAGCUCCUUAACACUUAUCUCUAAAUGAUUGGCCAAUUGAUCACUAAGCUCUCGUUUUGUUUCUUCAAGUAUACGUUCUUCUUUAGCUCUAGCUAGCUAUUUCUGAAGAUCUUUAAUUUCACGUUUUUGGGCCUCGGCCUGGGCCUUUGAGGCAGCUUCGUCCUUUUUUACCUUGUCUACCAAUGUAAGCAGAAUUUUAUCCUUUUCCAGAGCCUCGUUUCUCAGUUUAAUAACUUCUGAUCAUAGGUUGUUGAACGCAAUUUCAUAGCUUUCGUCUUCGGCAUUCUUUUGUGCUCUCAAUGCGUUGCUUAGAAUUAAACCCUAUAUGUAAAAGAGUUGGUAUAAGAAUAAAAGAAUGAGUUGUGAAUUAUAAAAUUUCCAAACGCCCAAUUCCCAUACCUUCAGGCUAUUGUAUGCAAGACUAUCCGCAAGAUCGUCCUUCGUCAUAGCACAUAAUCCAGCUUCAAGCUUUGGAAAUCCCAUACUUCUAGCCAUCUCCCGACAGACGGAUAAUUCUUUGUUGUCUGGGAGGCAGUAUAGGAAAUCUUCUUCGUUCGUCCCAUUGAACACUAGUGCCCCCUUCGGAUAUUUCAAUUCUUUGGCAUAGUGAUUAGCUUCAAAAACUUCUUCUUCCGAUAACUUUUUCCCCGAAGCAUGUCGCACGAUAUAGUCAUAUAUUUUGGAAGAUGCUUUGGGGGCGGCGGUAUCAAUUUCUUCGACCAAAGUUGGCUCUGACAUUUUCAUUUCUUCGGUUGCCUUUGCAAUUUUUGCUUCUUCUGCUUCAAAAGGUAUUACCUUGGUUGGUUCUGAAGGUCCGGUUUCAACUCCAGUCUGUUGCUUCGGAGCUUCAGCAACGCACACUUCAGCAAGCGCCUCAGAAGUUUCAGCAGUCUUCUUUGGGGUUGUGCUUGGAAGUUUAAUUGUUUCCAAAACAUCUAACACAUUAACCAUUCUUUUCCUUUUUGGGGUCACUGUUGGCCCCUUUUUAAUUUUUCAUGCUUCAAUUUCUUCUGAAGGACUUAAAAUUUCUGAUACCUUCACUCCCUCAGUUGAUGCUUUCGCUUCUUCCGUCUUUGGUUCUUCCAUCUUUUCUGUCGCUGGCACUUCGGCCAUUUCUGUGACUUCUGCCAGCAGGGUUGGCUCUUCAGCCUCGGUGGCCGAAGAGGUCUCACCGGUGAACUCAGGCACCGUGGCUGGUUCAAUAUAGCGUGGCCGGUGUGUGAGAACUUUUACCCUUUUUCUCUUCGGCGCUGGCUCGCUAGGAGCAGCUGCAGCUGUUUCUUUCGUAGAAGUUGUGCCUUUUCUUUUUUGCCCCCGUACUGGAUAGCGAUAGUCGGGGUAGACGAACCCGACUGCAUCAAACACUCGGUUGAGUCUUUUCCUUUUUCGGCCUCCGAAGGCCGCUGACAAUGCAGUGUCUUCGGCCUUCGAAUAUACCCCAAGCAAUUCAUCACUUACAGUCUCAAUGCUCUUUAACCAAUCAUCAUCUGGUUCAACGAACUUGUCUCUGUACUUAAAUGUAUACUUCAGCCUGACUAGCCCACCUUCGUCAGUUUCUUUAACAGUUUCUUUCGGCAUUUCCCAAUUAUCUGCAAGAGGCCACACUCUGAAGGCAAUGUGUUCUUGUAUUAAAUCCCUUGUCCCAAUAAAAGAGCAAACUACGCCGAAGGCCCGUUGGCAUUCUUCGGCUACUUCAUCCAUUUCUACCUUCGGUUUUCGGAGUCCGAAGCGCUGCCAGAUGGGGCACAUGAUGACAUCCUUAAUAUCUUCACGAACCUUCAAAUCAUUUUUUACAUAGAACCAUUCUUUCAUCCAUUCUCCGGGCCAUCUCUUCCGAAAGGUGGGCACGGGACAACUUGAUCCAGAGCGAGCACCGAAGUUGUAGCAACCAAAGUUGUUAUGAUAUUGCUCUUUACCCCAGGGCUUCGUUUCGUAUAACAAUUCAUGUAUAUUGCAAAAGCUUUUCGCACUUGGCUCUAGGCCCUGACUCUUCACAGCCCAGACGAAGAUUCCCAUUCUUAUUAUUGCUUCAGGGGUAAGUUGAUGAAGGUAAACCUGAUAUAUUUUCAGGACUUCUACCACAAACCUGCUUAUAGGGAAUCGUAGCCCAACUUUUAAAAAGCUUCGGAAGAUAACGACUUCAUCAUCUUCGGGAGUCGGCACAGUUCUUUCUCCGGCAUCUGCUCUCACAAUGGACAUAUCUCGAAAAUAUCUCCCCCUCAUGUUUUCAAGGUGACUUUGCCCAAUAGUUGAUUUUCCGAAGACUGAAUGGCUUGGUCGCCAUGGUCGAUCUUCGGAAUCUUCACCCCCACUGUCUACAUCAUAACUGUCACUAUCACCAGUGUCUUCAGAUAAACCUUCUAAAAUCUCCCUUGUAAUCUUCUCCGUAUUCAUCUUUGCUAUUGACUCAAGAAAACCCAGAUGCAUCUCUUCAGAAAGACUCAGCUUCAUUUCGGCAGCAACCUUCUUCUCCUCAGACAUCCCUUCGGAAUUCUUGCCUCUCGCUUUCGAAGCUUAAAACUAGGGAGGCAACCAAAUAUUUGUGGGCAGAAAACUAUUUGAGCAGGCAAAACAGAUGGCAAGAGAGCGUGCCAAAUAAAUUGUGGCGAGUCCCUAUUUAUACACCCAUUAUGUCGAAAACUGGAGGGUCCCGCUUGUCAAAGACUGUUGCUAUUCUAGCAAAGGGAAGGUGUUUUUUCGGACCUUCGGCUCAAAGCCUUCGUCCAUGUCACAAUAUAAAUUUAUCAUUCCAGCAAAUUAAUAUUGCGAGGGGCUACUGUUGGGGGCCUUCGGCUUCCGGAGGUCCUCAAAAACGUGAUUUAACAAUGUUUUCUAAGUAUGCGAGCAGGUAUCUUCGGAAUCAGGAAUCAGGUUGCGGGUAUACAGAAGCAUGGUCAAGACGAAGCUUGACUGGGACGGCGAUCGUGACGAAGGAUAAGAUGAUCACGAAGCUAUAUGCAGAAGAGCUUAGGCAUCACGGCGGAAAGGGGAAACCGACUUAAAGAUGAAAAGCCAAACUAGACCUCGAAGAAUUACUAUAGGGUUAUUGAUAAAUGUAAAGGGCAUUAUUGUAAUUUUGCAUGGGCUGCGACCCGUGCCUAUAAAUAGGUGAACAGUAUCCCUGUACUGUUCACGCUGACUUGGCAUUCACUUUUACGCCACGCCUGUAUUUUCUUUCCUUCAAGCCGAAGGUACAUUUGUAAUUUAUCUUUGCAUACACAAUUUAUAUAAAUAGAAGUAUAUUAAUAAUAAUGAUGUUUAAAGAAAUUAUGCUACUUUCUAUUCUUUGUUUGAAUGUUUUUCAUCUUUUACCAUGAUCAUGAAGGUACAUCCUUCACGACCUUCAUCCUAAAUUCGUUAUAUCCGAAGGGAAAUAACGAUUUGAAGGACGAAGGGCUUUUGAUAUUUAACAUUUUAUGUUGCCUUGUUCUUGAUUCAUAGCACUUGAGAACAAGUCCCCAACAGCCCCCAACAGCGUCGUUUGACCUCUCGAUCGCCAUAUCUCUCGAUUUCUGUGCCAUAAUUCUCUGUGUAUGUAUUUAUUCACAUUUCAUAUACUUAUGACUAUGUGACUAAUACGUGCUCACCUCUUCUGUCAUUUCAGUGACCUUGCCUGCCCGUGAGCCGUCUCAUGUCCUGCCUGGAUUCUCUCCCUCUUGUGUGAGAUUUCCAGGUAGCUAUUCGUUCUUUUGUCAUCCUAUCGGCUAUUAUCGACUUGUGCUUAGCUUCUCUCUCUCAUUUGCAGUCGUCAGGUCAGGAUGCCACGCACGAAGAAUGUGUCGGCGCCAGGGGGAGGAGAUGACGAGGACCCUCCUCGACCCUUUAGGAAGGUCAAUGGGAAGACUGUUUAUUUGGAGCAGCAGGAAGGCCGCAAGAAGCGGCGUUUGGAUAGAACAGCCCGAGCGGCUCUAGCAGCAAGAACAUCCGCUGAGCAGGCUAAGAGAGGAGAUUAGGUACAGAUUCCUUCCGAUCAGAUUGCUUACCGAGUUCGUCGCCUCGCCUCUCGGCCUCGCUCCUCCGCACCAACCACUCCCACCACUGCUACCACUCCACCACCCACUUCACCUGCUCCCAUCACUCAUGCGCCAUCCACCACCUCAGCCAUACCUACCACCUCCACUACUCCAGCUUCCACUGCUCCUCCUCCCGCUCCCCUUUCCGCUCCACCUAUCCCACCUGCCCGCUUCCGGGAGCGAGAUGAGACUGAGGUGCGACCACUAGUUGCGGAUCCCAGGUUGUUUGAUCUUCAGCGUGCUACAGCGGCACGGGUACGUCGGUUCAGACACGUACCCAUGGAGACUUGGCUACUGGCUCAGAGGGACCCUGCUGCAGUCGAUCUCUUCAGUACCCAGAUACAGGAGUCCUUCUUUCGAGCUGAGAUGUCUGCACAGAUUGCUCUACAAGUGCACCGGCUUUUGGACCUUCCUGCAUUUCUGCUAGCCGUCGAUGCUGCCUCUAAGGUACACCUCUCCUAUCUGCCUGGACUUCUCACUCUCUUGACUACCAGCGGCAGAUAUGUUGAGGAAUGGGUCCGAGUUUUCUAUGCUUCUGUAUGGAUCGACCCUGAUCACCAGUGGAUGAGAUUCCGCUUUGAGCGCGAGGAUGUUACAAUUCAUGCCAGCCAGAUUCGCCAGUUGUUUGGAUUCAACGAGUCAUCAACUCGUCUUCACAGCUUGUGCUACGGCACCUCUGAUCCUCCUCGUCGACCUCACGGCGGAGUUGCUCCUGGUACAGCUCACGUCGCGGCUUUGUUCCGACCGCCCUUCUCAGAUGGGUCACGAUGUUCUCUGGCAGACUUCACCACAGCGGCCAAGAUUUUAUAUCAGCUCAUGAGACGGACGCUUCUGCCACAGAUGGGUUACAGGGAGGCUGCUACUCAUAUCCAACUCUGGCUACUUGGUGCCAUGGUCUCUCACUCAGAGUUUGAUGUUGUGGACUUUCUUAUUUGUGAGAUUGAGGACACCGUACUGGAUGGUAUGCGUGCCCAGCGACAGCUGCCAUAUGCUCACUAUCUCUGCCACAUCUUCGCUCAGCUAAUUCGGCCACCACAGUUCUAGGGAACUCUUGAGGCCUCUCGCCUCCUCUUUGGGUCCUACCGUCCAGCCCCUGAGGAUCCUGUGUCGGCACCUUCUCAAGUGAUUGACACUCAGGCCGAGGAUACCGCUUUUCACCAGUUUGAGACUCAGGGCGCAACAGUCCCUGACGAUGAUGAUGAUGAUGACUUUGGGGUUCCGCCUCUGCCUCCACGCACUCAUGAUUAUGAGGCUAGGAGUUCCAGUGCUGCCCCUGCUAGCCCGCCUGCCAUUGGCCCUGCUCUUGCUGUGAUCCUCCAGACCCUUACUCAGCAGCAGGCUCACUUGGCCGCAGUCUAGCAGUAGAUGUUCGAGAGAAUGCUAUCGAUGUUUCAGACUAUUCAGGACAGACAGGAUACUCUACAGCAGCAGCUUCUGGCAGACCGCCAAGUAAGAAGUGUAGAACAAUUAGCUCAUAAGGACCGCCAUUGUAUAACCAUUCAUCAACAGAUGCAGCUUCCCAAAUUGGGUAAAAAUGCAAUCCGAUCGCCGCAGAAGUAGGAAUAAUAGCACCAGAGAUAAUAUUGUUUCCAUAAAGUAAAGAACCAGAAACAGGCUCACGAAUACCAUCAAUAUCUACUGGAGGAGCAGCGAUGAAGGCGAUAAUAUAUACGGAAGUUGUGGUCAAUAAGGUAGGGAUCAUCAAAACACCAAACCAUCCAAUGUAAAGACGGUUUUCGGUGCUAGUUAUCUAGUUGCAGAAGCGACCCCACAGGCUUGUACUUUCGCGUCUCUCUAAAAUUGCAGUCAUGGUAAGGUCUUGGUUUAUUCAAAUUGCAAGGACUGGGCUGAGAACAGGGCCUUCAUGACUCUCAUGCUUUAGCAUACCGGUGUUCCAAUUCCCCUAGUUCAAUCAGCACCGCCUCCACCUCUUCAGGCUAUUGUUGUGCCAGCCAUUCAGGCAGGACCUCCUCUUCCUACAGUUGGUCCUUCUUCCUCUCCGCUCCGACCAAUCACCCUGGUUUUCUCGUCGUCGGUCAUCAGCUUCGUCAGCACUCAGCCGCCAGUGCCCCCAGCUCCUGCUGUUACCACUACUGUUGUGGCGGUAUCUGUGACCUCUUCAGCUCCGGCAGCUCCUGCAGCAUAGCCUCCGUCCGAGUCAGUACCAGCUCCAGCUUCUAUGGCAGAUCCUGGAUCUGAGACUGACUCUGACCCGCAGCUGGCAUUCGCUCUUCUGCCACGACCACGACCGGAUGCGCCCCCGCCACCUCCUUCCUCUUCUGGUGUGUAGGUUUGAGUUCCCUUUUGGUGUUUGACGCCAAAGGGGGAGAGAUAUGUGAGUUGUGAGAGCUAGGGGAGUUAGGGAGUUAGUAGAGAGUCAUUUUGAUUUAAUAUAUGUGCUCGUUACUCUCUGUACUAGCUCCACUUUUGUAUGAUGAUUUUGGCUCACAAACUCUAUUAUAUACUCUCAAUGCUUAGGUUGACUACGUGUGCAUUAUGUUUUCACAUUAUAUGUUAUCACCAGUCUUCUAGUUCUUGUUCAUCGAUUUGAUUUCACUUUUAUAUGAACAAAACUUACGAUGUGUAUGCGCUCAUUCCUAUUACUAUGUUACACACUCUUUCUGUCAAAGACUAUUGAGUACAACUAACCAUCUUUUCUAUUGACAGAAAUUUCAAAAACAAACUACUCUCACAAACCUUGUAGGGUUAUCAUCAAUCACCAAAAAGAGGGAGAUUGAAAGCAUCUAGGCCCCUCACUACAGGAAACGCAUAAAUUUUCAUGGGCCAAAAACCCACGAAAAUAAGGGUAAACCGACGAAAAAAGUCUAUUUUUGUCGGCAUGCCGACGAAAAUAGCCGCCGAAAAUAAAUUCGACGAAAAUGCACAACUAGGCUUAAGCCAGCUUCGAGCUUCGGAAACCCCAUGCUUCUAGACAUCUCCCGGCAGACGGACAAUUCUUUAUUGUCUGGGAGGCAGUAUAGGAAAUCCUCUUCGUCCGUCCCAUUGAAUACUAGUGCCCCCUUCGGAUAUUUUAAUUCUUUGGCAUAGUGGUUAGCUUCAAAAACUUCUUCUUCCGAUAACUUUUUCCCUGAAGCAUGACGCACAAUAUAAUCGUAUAUUUUGGAAGAUGCUUCGGGGACAGCAGUAUCAAUUUCUUCGACCAAAAUAGGCUCUAACAUUUUUAUUUCUUUAGUCGCCUUUUCAAUUCUUGCUUCUUCUGCUUCCAAAGGUAUUACCUUGGUUGGUUCUGAAGGCUCAGUUUCAACUACAGUCUGUUGCUUUGGAGCCUUAGCAACGGAUACUUCCACAGGCGCCUCUGAAGUUUCAGCAGUCUUCUUUGGAGUUGUGCUUGGAAGUUUAAUUGUCUCCAAAACAUCCAACACAUUGACCAUUCUUUUUUCUUUUUGGGGUCACUGUUGGCCCCUUUUUUCUUGCUACUUCAAUUUCUACUGAAGGACUUAAAAUUUCUGAUAUUUUUGCUCCCUCAGUUGAUGCUUUUGCUUCUUCCAUCUUUUCUGUCGAUGGUGCUUCACCAUCUCUUUGGUUUCUGGUAACAGAAUCUUUGGUUCAUCCAAUUCCUUUGUUGUUGGCGCUUCGGCCAUUCCUGCGACUUCUGGCAGCAGGGUUGGCUCUUCAGCCUCGGUGGCCGGAGAAGUCUCUCCGGUGAAUUCAGGCACCGUGGCUGGUUCAAUAUAGCAUGGCCGAUGUGUGAGAACUUUUAUCCUCUUUCUCUUCGGUGCUGGCUCACUAGGAGCAGCUGCAGCUUUUUCUUUCGCAGAAGUUGUGCCUUUUCUUUUUUGCCCUCGUAUUGGAUAGCGAUAGUCGGGGUAGACGAACCCGAUUGCAUCAAAUACCCGGUUGAGUCUUUUCCUUUUUCGGCCUCCGAAGGCCGCUUACAAAGCAGUAUCUUCGGCCUUCGAGUAUGCCCCAAGCAAUUCAUCACUUACAGUCUCAAUGCUCUUUAACCAAUCAUCAUCUGGUUCAACGAAUUUGUCUCCAUACUUGAAUGUGUACCUUAGCCGGACUAGCCAACCUUCGUCAGUUUCUUUAAUAGUUUCUUUCGGCAUUUCCCAAUUAUCCGCAAGAGGCCACACUCUGAAGGCAAUAUGUUCUUGUGUUAAAUCCCUCGUCCCAAUAAAAGAGCAAACAACUCCGAAGGCUCUCUGGCAUUCUUCGGCUGCUUCAUUCAUUUCCACCUUCGGCCUUCGCAGGCUGAAGCGUUGCCAGAUGGGAUGCAUAAUGAUCUUCUUUACAUCUUCUCGAGAUUUCAAGUCAUUUUUCACGUAAAACCAUUCCGUCAUCCAGUCGCCAGGCCACCUCUUGCGAAAGGUCGGCACUGGGCAGCUUGACCCAGAACGAGAGCCGAAGCUAUAACAGCCAAAGUUGUUGUGAUAUUGUUCCUUACCCCAGGGUUUUGUCUCGUAUAACAAUUCGUGUAUAUUGUAGAAGCUCUUUGCAUCAGGUUCCAAGCCUUGGCUCCUCACAGCCCACACGAAAAUAUUCAUCCUUAUGAUCGCUUCGGGGAUAAGUUGGUGAAGGUGGAUUUCAAAUAUCUUCAGCACCUCCACAACAAAACGGCUCAGGGGAAAUCGUAGUCCAGCUUUCAAGAAGCUUCGAAAUACUACAACUUCAUUUUCCUCAGGAGUUGGGCAAGUCUUCUCUCCCUCGUCGGCCCUUACAAUAGACAAAUCCCGGAAAUAUCUUCCCCUCAUGUUGGCAAGAUGACUUUCUUUAAUACUUGAUUUGCCGAAAACCGCAUGGCUUCGUCGCCAAGGUCGAUCUUCGGAGUCUUCGCCACCACUAUCCGCAUCAUAGCUGUCGCUAUCACCAGUAUCUUCAGAUAAACCUUCCAAAAUUUCUUUAGUGAUCUUCUCUGUAUUAGUCUUCGACAUAGAUUGAAGAAAACCCAGAUGCAUCUCUUCAGAAAGACUCAGCUUCAUUUCGGCAACAACCUUCUUCUCCUCAGACAUCUCUUCGGAAUUCUUGCCUCUCGCUUCCGAAGCUUAAUACUAGGGAGGCAACAAAAUAUUUGUGGCCAGAAAAUUAUUUGAGCAGGCAAAACAGAUGGCAAGGGAGCGUGCCGAAUAAAUUGUGGCGAGCCCGUAUUUACAAACCCAUUAUGUCGGAGACUGGAGGGCCCCAUUUGCCAAUGACUGUUGCUAUUCUAGCAAAAGGAAGGUGUUUUUUCGGACCUUCGGCUUAUAGCCUUCGUCCAUUUCGCAAUCUGAAUUCAUCAUUCUGACAAAUUAAUAUUGCGAGGGGCUACUGUUGGGGGCCUUCGGCUUCCGAAGGUCCUCAAAAACAUGUUUUAACAAUGUUUCUGGAGUAAAGUAUGUUAACAGGUACCUUCGGAUUCGGAUCAGAGCCACGGUACGAAGAAGCACAAAGGUUGGCGCAGAGCCGAAGCUGUGUGUAGAAGAGCUUCGGAGUAGCGGUGGAAAAGGAAACCGACUUAAAGAUGAAAAACCAGAUUAGACCUCGAAGAGUUAUCAUAGAGUUAUUGAUAAAUGUAAAGGGCAUUAUUGUAAUUUUCCAUGGGCUGCGACCCGUGCCUAUAAAUAGGUGAACAGUAUCCCCGUACUGUUCACGCUGAUUCGACAUUGGCUUUGGCAUCACACUUGUGCUUCUACCUUCUUUACGAGCUGAAGGUACACUUAUAAUUUAAUAUUAUCUUUAUCUUUCCAUCAUAAUAAAAUGGAAAUGAUUCGACAACAUUAAACAACUGUUUAUGUUAUCUUCAUGUUUCAUAUGAUCCUUUCUUCAUUAUUAUAUUUUAUGCUGAUGAAGGUAUGUCCUUCAUAACCUUCGCCCGAAAAUCAUUAUAUCCUUAAGGAAAUAAUGCUUAGAAGGACGAAGGAUAUUAAUAUUUAACAUUUUGUGUUGCCUUGUUCUUGAUCCAUAGCAUUUGAGAACAAGUCACCAACAAAUACAGAAUUCACAAACCACAUCCACAAUCAAUACCAUAAUUGUUUCAAACCACAAUCACAUCCAUAAUAAAGUCCAUACAUAGUCCAUAGACAAACUCACUCAUGGCAAGUCUCACUCCUGCGGGCUGUGGGAGUUUUGGCCACUCCCUCCUCCGCCACCAGGAAGGUGGCCACUCCCUCCGGAACCAUGGACGAGGUAGUCUUGGACGUUGACAGCACCCUCCGAUCCCUGAGCAUGUGACACUGAACCCUGCAAUUCAUCAAUCAUUCAAAUAAGGUUGUGUUUUGCUAUCCAUAUACCUAUACAUUGCUAUGUUUGGUCACUAUUUGCAUAAAACUAAACAUGGAACGUCACCUGUGAUCCAUUGUGCUGAGGAGGCUGUGCAUGCAUCCAUGGGUAAUGUUGUGCUGGCCACCCCUGGGGUGGUGGCACCCACCCCGGCGGUGGCGGUGCCAUCCACGCUUGAAGUGGCUGAGAGCCCGGCAGUGGCUGGGAGACCGGUGGCACCCAUCCCGGGGUUGGCUGCGAUCCCUGGGGUGGUGGAGCCGUCCAAGUGCCUGGAGGUGCCUGCGUCCACCCAACACCGGUCCACAGUGGCUGCGACGCUGGAGCUAGCUGAGAUCCCUGGAGUGGUGGCGUAAAUGGCUGCAACUCUGGAGCUUGUCCUGGCCACUGUCCCCAUCCUUGUGCCUGCGAGCCAUUUUUUAUAAUAAAAAAGAGUUGCUAUGGAAUUGAAGUGUUCAGAUAGUGUUACCUGGGGAGGGCAAAAAGCGGGCAAGUUCAUAUCAGGGCCGAGUCGAGAAGUCAUUUCCUGCAAAUGGAUGAAACGUUAGAAUCGCAACAUUAUACUUUGAAUUCAAUAACACGUGAUGAGAUAGAUGAAUUACCUGAAAAUAAGAAGCCAUAUACUGCGUCAGCUGUCCGACCUGCUCCUGCGCUGCUCGAGCUUGCUGCUGUGCUGCUCGAGCCUGCUCCUGUGCUGCUCGAGUCUCCUCCUCCACCUAAGCCUCUCGAGCAGACCUAGAGGAGCGAGAACUCCCUUGACCUAUUGUCCUGUUAUACUCCACAACGCCGGUGCCAAAGGCAAACCUGCAUGAUACACAUAGUUGAGCCAUUAAGUGGACAUAUUCUUGUUAAUGAAAUUGUCGAAUCAAACACAAACACCUCACCUGCCAUGCUUUCUACCCCCACCACUGUGGUACAACGCCGAGGCAUCUAAGUCCGAAUGCAUCCAGUCGAAGUCAGGCCCAUGGCGUUGAAUCAUUUCCUCCCCAUAUGCAUUCUGCAAAGAAAGUUAGAGUUGGAGUUAGACACAAAACAUGCAAUUUAAUUCAUAAAUACAAACUUGUUUACCAUUUUCUCCCUUGCCGCCUCGCUGCAUAGCACAUCAGGGUUCACCGGAUCAGGGCCACGGUGACCACGAACGUAAACCUCCAUAAAACUUGGAGCAACUACACUUUCAGCUUCCUGCAUGAAAAAGAAGAGUUAAACCAUAGAAUUUUCAUAGAUGUAACAUACAAGUUUGAUUUACAUACUUACCAUGCGGCGUGCGGUACCAAGGUGUCCAUCGGCGCCGUACCUGUGCCCCAGUCCUUCAGUGCCACGGUUGGCACGGUGCUUCUGGGACUCUGCAAUCCACUUAGGCGACGCCCAUCUCUUAGCCAACCACCUCCAGGCUUCCAUGUCCUUCGCAAGCCAAUCCACAACGCUCUCCAGGUACUACUCCUCUGUGAGGUAGAUCUCAUUGGCCCCUUUUAUCGAUGUUUCAGACUAUUCAGGACAGACAGGAUACUCUACAGCAGCAGCUUCUGGCAGACCGCCAAGUAAGAAGUGUAGAACAAUUAGCUCAUAAGGACCGCCAUUGUAUAACCAUUCAUCAACAGAUGCAGCUUCCCAAAUUGGGUAAAAAUGCAAUCCGAUCGCCGCAGAAGUAGGAAUAAUAGCACCAGAGAUAAUAUUGUUUCCAUAAAGUAAAGAACCAGAAACAGGCUCACGAAUACCAUCAAUAUCUACUGGAGGAGCAGCGAUGAAGGCGAUAAUAUAUACGGAAGUUGUGGUCAAUAAGGUAGGGAUCAUCAAAACACCAAACCAUCCAAUGUAAAGACGGUUUUCGGUGCUAGUUAUCUAGUUGCAGAAGCGACCCCACAGGCUUGUACUUUCGCGUCUCUCUAAAAUUGCAGUCAUGGUAAGGUCUUGGUUUAUUCAAAUUGCAAGGACUGGGCUGAGAACAGGGCCUUCAUGACUCUCAUGCUUUAGCAUACCGGUGUUCCAAUUCCCCUAGUUCAAUCAGCACCGCCUCCACCUCUUCAGGCUGUUGUUGUGCCAGCCAUUCAGGCAGGACCUCCUCUUCCUACAGUUGGUCCUUCUUCCUCUCCGCUCCGACCGAUCACCCUGGUUUUCUCGUCGUCGGUCAUCAGCUUCGUCAGCACUCAACCGCCAGUGCCCCCAGCUCCUGCUGUUACCACUACUGUUGUGGCGGUAUCUGUGACCUCUUCAGCUCCGGCAGCUCCUGCAGCAUAGCCUCCGUCCGAGUCAGUACCAGCUCCAGCUUCUAUGGCAGAUCCUGGAUCUGAGACUGACUCUGACCCGUAGCUGGCAUUCGCUCUUCUGCCACGACCACGACCGGAUGCGCCCCCGCCACCUCCUUCCUCUUCUGGUGUGUAGGUUUGAGUUCCCUUUUGGUGUUUGACGCCAAAGGGGGAGAGAUAUGUGAGUUGUGAGAGCUAGGGGGAGUUAGGGAGUUAGUAGAGAGUCAUUUUGAUGUAAUAUAUGUGCUCGUUACUCUCUGUACUAGCUCCACUUUUGUAUGAUGAUUUUGGCUCACAAACUCUAUUAUAUACUCUCAAUGCUUAGGUUGACUACGUGUGCAUUAUGUUUUCACAUUAUAUGUUAUCACCAGUCUUCUAGUUCUUGUUCAUCGAUUUGAUUUCACUUUUAUAUGAACAAGAAACUUACGAUGUGUAUGCGCUCAUUCCUAUUACUAUGUUACACACUCUUUCUGUCAAAGACUAUUGAGUACAACUAACCAUCUUUUCUAUUGACAGAAAUUUCAAAAACAAACUACUCUCACAAACCUUGUAGGGUUAUCAUCAAUCACCAAAAAGAGGGAGAUUGAAAGCAUCUAGGCCCCUCACUACAGGAAACGCAUAAAUUUUCAUGGGCCAAAAACCCACGAAAAUAAGGGUAAACCGACGAAAAAAGUCUAUUUUUGUCGGCAUGCCGACGAAAAUAGCCGCCGAAAAUAAAUUCGACGAAAAUGCACAACUAGGCUUAAGCCAGCUUCGAGCUUCGGAAACCCCAUGCUUCUAGACAUCUCCCGGCAGACGGACAAUUCUUUAUUGUCUGGGAGGCAGUAUAGGAAAUCCUCUUCGUCCGUCCCAUUGAAUACUAGUGCCCCCUUCGGAUAUUUUAAUUCUUUGGCAUAGUGAUUAGCUUCAAAAACUUCUUCUUCCAAUAACUUUUUCCCUGAAGCAUGACGCACAAUAUAAUCGUAUAUUUUGGAAGAUGCUUCGGGGACAGCAGUAUCAAUUUCUUCGACCAAAAUAGGCUCUAACAUUUUUAUUUCUUUAGUCGCCUUUUCAAUUCUUGCUUCUUCUGCUUCCAAAGGUAUUACCUUGGUUGGUUCUGAAGGCUCAGUUUCAACUACAGUCUGUUGCUUUGGAGCCUUAGCAACGGAUACUUCCACAGGCGCCUCUGAAGUUUCAGCAGUCUUCUUUGGAGUUGUGCUUGGAAGUUUAAUUGUCUCCAAAACAUCCAACACAUUGACCAUUCUUUUUUCUUUUUGGGGUCACUGUUGGCCCCUUUUUUCUUGCUACUUCAAUUUCUACUGAAGGACUUAAAAUUUCUGAUAUUUUUGCUCCCUCAGUUGAUGCUUUUGCUUCUUCCAUCUUUUCUGUCGAUGGUGCUUCACCAUCUCUUUGGUUUCUGGUAACAGAAUCUUUGGUUCAUCCAAUUCCUUUGUUGUUGGCGCUUCGGCCAUUCCUGCGACUUCUGGCAGCAGGGUUGGCUCUUCAGCCUCGGUGGCCGGAGAAGUCUCUCCGGUGAAUUCAGGCACCGUGGCUGGUUCAAUAUAGCAUGGCCGAUGUGUGAGAACUUUUAUCCUCUUUCUCUUCGGUGCUGGCUCACUAGGAGCAGCUGCAGCUUUUUCUUUCGCAGAAGUUGUGCCUUUUCUUUUUUGCCCUCGUAUUGGAUAGCGAUAGUCGGGGUAGACGAACCCGAUUGCAUCAAAUACCCGGUUGAGUCUUUUCCUUUUUCGGCCUCCGAAGGCCGCUUACAAAGCAGUAUCUUCGGCCUUCGAGUAUGCCCCAAGCAAUUCAUCACUUACAGUCUCAAUGCUCUUUAACCAAUCAUCAUCUGGUUCAACGAAUUUGUCUCCAUACUUGAAUGUGUACCUUAGCCGGACUAGCCAACCUUCGUCAGUUUCUUUAAUAGUUUCUUUCGGCAUUUCCCAAUUAUCCGCAAGAGGCCACACUCUGAAGGCAAUAUGUUCUUGUGUUAAAUCCCUCGUCCCAAUAAAAGAGCAAACAACUCCGAAGGCUCUCUGGCAUUCUUCGGCUGCUUCAUUCAUUUCCACCUUCGGCCUUCGCAGGCUGAAGCGUUGCCAGAUGGGAUGCAUAAUGAUCUUCUUUACAUCUUCUCGAGAUUUCAAGUCAUUUUUCACGUAAAACCAUUCCGUCAUCCAGUCGCCAGGCCACCUCUUGCGAAAGGUCGGCACUGGGCAGCUUGACCCAGAACGAGAGCCGAAGCUAUAACAGCCAAAGUUGUUGUGAUAUUGUUCCUUACCCCAGGGUUUUGUCUCGUAUAACAAUUCGUGUAUAUUGUAGAAGCUCUUUGCAUCAGGUUCCAAGCCUUGGCUCCUCACAGCCCACACGAAAAUAUUCAUCCUUAUGAUCGCUUCGGGGAUAAGUUGGUGAAGGUGGAUUUCAAAUAUCUUCAGCACCUCCACAACAAAACGGCUCAGGGGAAAUCGUAGUCCAGCUUUCAAGAAGCUUCGAAAUACUACAACUUCAUUUUCCUCAGGAGUUGGGCAAGUCUUCUCUCCCUCGUCGGCCCUUACAAUAGACAAAUCCCGGAAAUAUCUUCCCCUCAUGUUGGCAAGAUGACUUUCUUUAAUACUUGAUUUGCCGAAAACCGCAUGGCUUCGUCGCCAAGGUCGAUCUUCGGAGUCUUCGCCACCACUAUCCGCAUCAUAGCUGUCGCUAUCACCAGUAUCUUCAGAUAAACCUUCCAAAAUUUCUUUAGUGAUCUUCUCUGUAUUAGUCUUCGACAUAGAUUGAAGAAAACCCAGAUGCAUCUCUUCAGAAAGACUCAGCUUCAUUUCGGCAACAACCUUCUUCUCCUCAGACAUCUCUUCGGAAUUCUUGCCUCUCGCUUCCGAAGCUUAAUACUAGGGAGGCAACAAAAUAUUUGUGGCCAGAAAAUUAUUUGAGCAGGCAAAACAGAUGGCAAGGGAGUGUGCCGAAUAAAUUGUGGCGAGCCCGUAUUUACAAACCCAUUAUGUCGGAGACUGGAGGGCCCCAUUUGCCAAUGACUGUUGCUAUUCUAGCAAAAGGAAGGUGUUUUUUCGGACCUUCGGCUUAUAGCCUUCGUCCAUUUCGCAAUCUGAAUUCAUCAUUCUGACAAAUUAAUAUUGCGAGGGGCUACUGUUGGGGGCCUUCGGCUUCCGAAGGUCCUCAAAAACAUGUUUUAACAAUGUUUCUGGAGUAAAGUACGUUAACAGGUACCUUCGGAUUCGGAUCAGAGCCACGGUACGAAGAAGCACAAAGGUUGGCGCAGAGCCGAAGCUGUGUGUAGAAGAGCUUCAGAGUAGCGGUGGAAAAGGAAACCGACUUAAAGAUGAAAAACCAGAUUAGACCUCGAAGAGUUAUCAUAGAGUUAUUGAUAAAUGUAAAGGGCAUUAUUGUAAUUUUCCAUGGGCUGCGACCCGUGCCUAUAAAUAGGUGAACAGUAUCCCCGUACUGUUCACGCUGAUUCGACAUUGGCUUUGGCAUCACACUUGUGCUUCUACCUUCUUUACGAGCUGAAGGUACACUUAUAAUUUAAUAUUAUCUUUAUCUUUCCAUCAUAAUAAAAUGGAAAUGAUUCGACAACAUUAAACAACUGUUUAUGUUAUCUUCAUGUUUCAUAUGAUCCUUUCUUCAUUAUUAUAUUUUAUGCUGAUGAAGGUAUGUCCUUCAUAACCUUCGCCCGAAAAUCAUUAUAUCCUUAAGGAAAUAAUGCUUAGAAGGACGAAGGAUAUUAAUAUUUAACAUUUUGUGUUGCCUUGUUCUUGAUCCAUAGCAUUUGAGAACAAGUCACCAACAAAUACAGAAUUCACAAACCACAUCCACAAUCAAUACCAUAAUUGUUUCAAACCACAAUCACAUCCAUAAUAAAGUCCAUACAUAGUCCAUAGACAAACUCACUCAUGGCAAGUCUCACUCCUGCGGGCUGUGGGAGUUUUGGCCACUCCCUCCUCCGCCACCAGGAAGGUGGCCACUCCCUCCGGAACCAUGGACGAGGUAGUCUUGGACGUUGACAGCACCCUCCGAUCCCUGAGCAUGUGACACUGAACCCUGCAAUUCAUCAAUCAUUCAAAUAAGGUUGUGUUUUGCUAUCCAUAUACCUAUACAUUGCUAUGUUUGGUCACUAUUUGCAUAAAACUAAACAUGGAACGUCACCUGUGAUCCAUUGUGCUGAGGAGGCUGUGCAUGCAUCCAUGGGUAAUGUUGUGCUGGCCACCCCUGGGGUGGUGGCACCCACCCCGGCGGUGGCGGUGCCAUCCACGCUUGAAGUGGCUGAGAGCCCGGCAGUGGCUGGGAGACCGGUGGCACCCAUCCCGGGGUUGGCUGCGAUCCCUGGGGUGGUGGAGCCGUCCAAGUGCCUGGAGGUGCCUGCGUCCACCCAACACCGGUCCACAGUGGCUGCGACGCUGGAGCUAGCUGAGAUCCCUGGAGUGGUGGCGUAAAUGGCUGCAACUCUGGAGCUUGUCCUGGCCACUGUCCCCAUCCUUGUGCCUACGAGCCAUUUUUUAUAAUAAAAAAGAGUUGCUAUGGAAUUGAAGUGUUCAGAUAGUGUUACCUGGGGAGGGCAAAAAGCGGGCAAGUUCAUAUCAGGGCCGAGUCGAGAAGUCAUUUCCUGCAAAUGGAUGAAACGUUAGAAUCGCAACAUUAUACUUUGAAUUCAAUAACACGUGAUGAGAUAGAUGAAUUACCUGAAAAUAAGAAGCCAUAUACUGCGUCAGCUGUCCGACCUGCUCCUGCGCUGCUCGAGCUUGCUGCUGUGCUGCUCGAGCCUGCUCCUGUGCUGCUUGAGUCUCCUCCUCCACCUAAGCCUCUCGAGCAGACCUAGAGGAGCGAGAACUCCCUUGACCUAUUGUCCUGUUAUACUCCACAACGCCGGUGCCAAAGGCAAACCUGCAUGAUACACAUAGUUGAGCCAUUAAGUGGACAUAUUCUUGUUAAUGAAAUUGUCGAAUCAAACACAAACACCUCACCUGCCAUGCUUUCUACCCCCACCACUAUGGUACAACGCCGAGGCAUCUAAGUCCGAAUGCAUCCAGUCGAAGUCAGGCCCAUGGCGUUGAGUCAUUUCCUCCCCAUAUGCAUUCUGCAAAGAAAGUUAGAGUUGGAGUUAGACACAAAACAUGCAAUUUAAUUCAUAAAUACAAACUUGUUUACCAUUUUCUCCCUUGCCGCCUCGCUGCAUAGCACAUCAGGGUUCACCGGAUCAGGGCCACGGUGACCACGAACGUAAACCUCCAUAAAACUUGGAGCAACUACACUUUCAGCUUCCUGCAUGAAAAAGAAGAGUUAAACCAUAGAAUUUUCAUAGAUGUAACAUACAAGUUUGAUUUACAUACUUACCAUGCGGCGUGCGGUACCAAGGUGUCCAUCGGCGCCGUACCUGUGCCCCGGUCCUUCAGUGCCACGGUUGGCACGGUGCUUCUGGGACUCUGCAAUCCACUUAGGCGACGCCCAUCUCUUAGCCAACCACCUCCAGGCUUCCAUGUCCUUCGCAAGCCAAUCCACAACGCUCUCCAGGUACUACUCCUCUGUGAGGUAGAUCUCAUUGGCCCCUUUUAUCGAUGUUUCAGACUAUUCAGGACAGACAGGAUACUCUACAGCAGCAGCUUCUGGCAGACCGCCAAGUAAGAAGUGUAGAACAAUUAGCUCAUAAGGACCGCCAUUGUAUAACCAUUCAUCAACAGAUGCAGCUUCCCAAAUUGGGUAAAAAUGCAAUCCGAUCGCCGCAGAAGUAGGAAUAAUAGCAUCAGAGAUAAUAUUGUUUCCAUAAAGUAAAGAACCAGAAACAGGCUCACGAAUACCAUCAAUAUCUACUGGAGGAGCAGCGAUGAAGGCGAUAAUAUAUACGGAAGUUGUGGUCAAUAAGGUAGGGAUCAUCAAAACACCAAACCAUCCAAUGUAAAGACGGUUUUCGGUGCUAGUUAUCCAGUUGCAGAAGCGACCCCACAGGCUUGUACUUUCGCGUCUCUCUAAAAUUGCAGUCAUGGUAAGGUCUUGGUUUAUUCAAAUUGCAAGGACUGGGCUGAGAACAGGGCCUUCAUGACUCUCAUGCUUUAGCAUACCGGUGUUCCAAUUCCCCUAGUUCAAUCAGCACCGCCUCCACCUCUUCAGGCUGUUGUUGUGCCAGCCAUUCAGGCAGGACCUCCUCUUCCUACAGUUGGUCCUUCUUCCUCUCCGCUCCGACCGAUCACCCUGGUUUUCUCGUCGUCGGUCAUCAGCUCCGUCAGCACUCAGCCGCCAGUGCCCCCAGCUCCUGCUAUUACCACUACUGUUGUGGCGGUAUCUGUGACCUCUUCAGCUCCGGCAGCUCCUGCAGCAUAGCCUCCGUCCGAGUCAGUACCAGCUCCAGCUUCUAUGGCAGAUCCUGGAUCUGAGACUGACUCUGACCGGUAGCUAGCAUUCGCUCUUCUGCCACGACCACGACCGGAUGCGCCCCCGCCACCUCCUUCCUCUUCUGGUGUGUAGGUUUGAGUUCCCUUUUGGUGUUUGACGCCAAAGGGGGAGAGAUAUGUGAGUUGUGAGAGCUAGGGGGAGUUAGGGAGUUAGUAGAGAGUCAUUUUGAUGUAAUAUAUGUGCUCGUUACUCUCUGUACUAGCUCCACUUUUGUAUGAUGAUUUUGGCUCACAAACUCUAUUAUAUACUCUCAAUGCUUAGGUUGACUACGUGUGCAUUAUGUUUUCACAUUAUAUGUUAUCACCAGUCUUCUAGUUCUUGUUCAUCGAUCUGAUUUCACUUUUAUAUGAACAAGAAACUUACGAUGUGUAUGCGCUCAUUCCUAUUACUAUGUUACACACUCUUUCUGUCAAAGACUAUUGAGUACAACUAACCAUCUUUUCUAUUGACAGAAAUUUCAAAAACAAACUACUCUCACAAACCUUGUAGGGUUAUCAUCAAUCACCAAAAAGAGGGAGAUUGAAAGCAUCUAGGCCCCUCACUACAGGAAACGCAUAAAUUUUCAUGGGCCAAAAACCCACGAAAAUAAGCGUAAACCGACGAAAAAAGUCUAUUUUCGUCGGCAUGCCGAUGAAAAUAGCCGCCGAAAAUAAAUUCGACGAAAAUGCACAACUAUUUUCGUCGGUACCGACGUUAAUGACUUAUUUUCGUCGGCUUCCCCAAGGCCGACGAAAAUAGGUGCUGCAGCGGGGUAUUUUCGUUGGCCACCGUGGCCGACGAAAAUAGGGCGCUUUAUUUUCGUCGGCUUCCACGUGCCCACGAAAAUACCUGGUCGGGAGCUAUCUUCGGCCUGCAUGUAUUUUCGUCGGCCUUCGUGCAGGCCGACGAAAAUUCAUGGUACCCCCCCCCAAAACAGAUUUUUCUGCACCUUGUAAUUCAUAGCAAAAUACACAUAAUCCACAAUCACAUAUACAAUAAACAAUUUCAAUACUGUUGGGGGCCUUCGGCUUCCGAAGGUCCUCAAAAACAUGUUUUAACAAUGUUUCUGGAGUAAAGUACGUUAACAGGUACCUUCGGAUUCGGAUCAGAGCCACGGUACGAAGAAGCACAAAGGUUGGCGCAGAGCCGAAGCUGUGUGUAGAAGAGCUUCGGAGUAGCGGCGGAAAAGGAAACCGAGUUAUUGAUAAAUGUAAAGGGCAUUAUUGUAAUUUUCCAUGGGCUGCGACCCGUGCCUAUAAAUAGGUGAACAGUAUCCCCGUACUGUUCACGCUGAUUCGACAUUGGCUUUGGCAUCACACUUGUGCUUCUACCUUCUUUACGAGCUGAAGGUACACUUAUAAUUUAAUAUUAUCUUUAUCUUUCCAUCAUAAUAAAAUGGAAAUGAUUCGACAACAUUACACAACUGUUUAUGUUAUCUUCAUGUUUCAUAUGAUCCUUUCUUCAUUAUUAUAUUUUAUGCUGAUGAAGGUAUGUCCUUCAUAACCUUCGCCCGAAAAUCAUUAUAUCCUUAAGGAAAUAAUGCUUAGAAGGACGAAGGAUAUUAAUAUUUAACAUUUUGUGUUGCCUUGUUCUUGAUCCAUAGCAUUUGAGAACAAGUCACCAACAUUGGCACCCACCUCCGGUGAACUCACUUCCAUUUUUUGAGUCUUGAACACUUUCGGCAAGCAUCACCUUCGUCAUGCCGCCGAAAAAAGCUUCAGCAGCAGGGGCUGGUACUUUACAGCCGCUGGAUCCCAAUCAGGAUGUCCUUUCUCUUAGAGAGGCCCGAAGCCAGAAGAGGAAGGCUGUUAGUCCAACACCUCCGGAGGAUGCCCUGGAUCAGGAGAUCCAAAACCUAGAAAUCCUUCAGCAACAGGUGCAACGCAAGAAGGAGAAGAUGGCUCGUCUAGCUGAUCUUCAGAUACAGAUAGACGAAGCUUCUGAAGAGGUUCGUCAUCUUGUUCAAGAUGAUCAAAGCCGAAGGCCUCCACGCAGAGAGCUUCAUCAGGAAGGCUUCCACAAUGAGGAUGACUGGUAUGAAGAUUUUCAUCAUGGAAACUUUGCUUUUGAUGAUGCUUCUCCUCUCUCAACAGAAUUGCAGGCUACACCAUGGCCUCAGUCCUACAAGCCACCCCAGCUCCCCAUGUAUGACGGUCAUACAGACCCCAAGCAAUUCCUGAUGAGCUACGAAGCGACCAUAUCUUCGUAUGGUGGCAAUACGGCAGUCAUGGCAAAAUCUUUUGUCAUGGCCGUCAGGAGCGUUGCUCAGACUUGGUACUCUUCUCUUCGGCCAGGGACAAUCACUUCUUGGCAGAAAUUGAAGGAUAUGCUGGUAACUAGCUUCCAAGGGUUUCAGACGAAGCCAGUCACCGCUCAGGCUCUCUUCCAGUGUACCCAGGACCAUGAAGAGUACCUUCAGGCGUAUGUCCGGAGGUUUCUGCGUCUGAGGGCACAAGCGCCAACAGUGCCCAAUGAAAUUGUCAUUGAGGCCAUGAUUAAGGGGCUUCGGCCGGGACCAUCAGCGCAGUACUUUGCCAGGAAGCCACCACAAACGUUGGAGAAGCUGCUCCAGAAGAUGGAUGAAUACAUUCGAGCUGACAAUGACUUCCGCCAAAGAAGGGAGGAAGCAUUCAGGUUCUCUGAAAUGACCAGGGGCUUCAGAGGAAGAUUUCACCCGAGGCAUGUUAGGUCAAUCCAUAACUCUGCUCAAACUGAUGAUCGAGGGAGCCAGCAGCAAAGGCCACAACACUCUUCACAAGCUUCGGCCCAACAGCAGAGUUCUUUUCGGCCGCCAGCGCCAAGGGGCAGAGGCGCCACGGGCUUCAGGGGAAGGUUUGGAGACCAGCCAAGAAAAAUAUAUUGCCUAUUCUGUGGUGAAGACAAGGGCCAUACUACCAGGAUGUGCCAUGUUACCAUCCAGAAGCAGAAGGAAAUAGCGGAAGCAGCAGCGCAACAGAGUCAGCCGAAGCAGGUCAUGCAUACUGCUUCGUAUCACUCACCUUACAUUCCAGAAUAUGUAGGCAACCACCCUGCAGCUUCUGUUGCUUCGGCGAGCCAACCCCAAGCAUCUUGGCAGCAACCUCCACCGCCACCGCCGAUCCAGCGAGGGCAACAGCCAGAAGGGAGCCAGCACAAUCAUCUUCAGAGGGAUUUCAGAGAAGAGUCUGAAGCUCGCACAGUCAACAGCACUGUGCCAGAAUCGAAGCACAUUUAUUGACAAAUAUCCUACCUCAACAGCAGUUCUUUUGCAUUUUCUACAUACGCUGUUACCCUUUUGUCAAUAAGGAACAAUUAUGAAGAGUUUAAAUAUCUUUAAUUGAUUUUCAAUUUCUUGUCAUACUUUCGUCUUUUACCAUAAUAAAAAUAUGUUUUUUCCAUAGGCUUGAGUUGCCGAAGCAUGCGAACUUAUACUGAUUUGAAGGACCUUCGUAUUAUCAAAAAUUUGAUCCAACGGACAUAGUACAAAUUGUUCGAAGCAGUAAAAAGUCGUUCCUAAGGGAGCGCAGUGUAAGUUUUCUAAACAUACAGCGAAAAAUAAACGCUGAUUCCGCUGAAAGUAAAAGGCGAAGAAGCUCCUAAGGGAGGCUUACAGUGAAAAAUAAACGCUGAUUCCGCUGAAAGUAAAAGGCGAAGAAGCUCCUAAGGGAGGCUUACAGCGAAAAAUAAACGCUGAUUCCGCUGAAAGUAAAAGGCGAAAAAGCUCCUAAGGGAGGCUUACAGCGAAAAGUCAGCGCUGAUAUAAAAAGUGUGUGUGCUUUAUUACAGGGAUAUGUAUCUGCGGCACAAAUAUCAUUUUGCAUAACAUAACAUCAUCACAUCAUCUUUGCAUAACAUAAGCAUCAUACAGCAUACUGCACCUGGAACAAGAAGGGGAUACAGUGUUGACCUUUGGAACAUAUUUUGGAAAAGAGAAAAUCGUGCUAAGGCACAAGAUAAAUCGAGAUGAAGUGUAGCUUCAUCGGAAACGCAACACAAAACUUUUUUACAGCUUCGAAGAAUAUUUCACGAAGCUUGGACAUUUUUCAGAGAAGUAAGCAAAUUCUUAUGGUAUAGAAAGGAUUUUCUUCACGAAGCAUGAAAAGAAGGGAAGGUGUUUUUUUCGCCGAAGGCUCAAAAAAUGGUAUGUAUGCAGAGUUUCAUGCAUCGUAAAGAAUUAAACUAUAAAUAGAUUGUAUAUUACAUUAAAAGUUACAAUAUAUUACACAUUUUUACGUCUCAAAUGUUUCUACAAUAACAUUCAAUCCUCUUUAAGCACUAUCUCUGCAGCUUCAUUCAAUAGUUGGUUGACAACCUUGUCCAUAAUGGCUUCGGCCAUUUUUCUAAUUUCAUCGUCCCCCUUCGGAUGGGGGCCCGCAGAUGCCUCAGCAGCUUCUGAGGGAAGAAAAGAUACGGCUACAUUACUAUUACAAACCGAGAACAGAGUCUGGAAUUAAAAAUUACAGCAUGAUAAAAACCACUAAUUAAUACCUAUGCGCCCUUCGGGCUCUGUACUUUCCUCGGCAGCUUCUGCUACUUUUCUAGCAUCGUGAAUGCCUUUUUCACUCCUUUGAAUAAUUUCUUGCGCCAAUUCUCGGCUGCCGUUAUCCCAGAUAUCGGUGAAGAAUUUCCCGCCGACCAUGCUUGCUUCGGGUGAGGGGUCUUUAAUGUCUUCAAUAGAUAAUGUAGCUUCGGACUGCGCUAAGGAUUUUACAUGCUCACAGCCUUUCUUCUCCAAAACAGUAGCAAUCCCUCUAGCACCCGAAAAAGCGCAGAUGUCGCCGCGACUGUUCAGAAUUUCCUCGAAGGCCUCUGCUUCGUGACUGAUCCAUUCCAUUGGACCUUCAGGAUUGCCUCUUGAAAAAUUCUCUUCACUAGAGAACGCGCCAACGCUGGCGAAGCUGGAUUUUAUCUUUUUGACGCACUCUAUGGAUUUAACAUAACAUUUCCUCUGGGAUGCACGAAGCUCCUUAACACUUAUCUCCAAAUGAUUGGCCAAUUGGUCACUAAGCUCUCGUUUUGUCUCUUCAAGUAUACGUUCUUCUUUAGCUCUAGCUAGCUGUUUCUGAAGAUCUUUAAUUUCACGUUUUUGAGCUUCGGCCUGGGCCUUCGAAGCAGCUUUGUCCUUUCUUACCUUGUCUAUCAAUGUAAGCAGAAUUUUAUCUUUUUCCAGAGCUUCGUUUCUCAGUUUAAUAACUUCUGAUCGUAGAUUGUUGAACGCAAUUUCAUAGCUCUCGUCCUCGGCACUCUUUUGUGCUCUCAAUGCGUUGCUUAGAAUUAAACCCUAUAUGAAAAAGAGUUUGUAUAAGAAUAAAAGAAUGAGUUACGAAUUAAAAAGUUUCCAAACGACUAAUUCCCAUACCUUCAGGCUAUUGUACGCAAGACUAUCCGCGAGAUCUUCUUUCGUCAUAGCGCUUAAGCCAGCUUCGAGCUUCGGAAACCCCAUGCUUCUAGACAUCUCCCGGCAGACGGACAAUUCUUUAUUGUCUGGGAGGCAGUAUAGGAAAUCCUCUUCGUCCGUCCCAUUGAAUACUAGUGCCCCCUUCGGAUAUUUUAAUUCUUUGGCAUAGUGAUUAGCUUCAAAAACUUCUUCUUCCGAUAACUUUUUCCCUGAAGCAUGACGCACAAUAUAAUCGUAUAUUUUGGAAGAUGCUUCGGGGACAGCGGUAUCAAUUUCUUCGACCAAAAUAGGCUCUGACAUUUUUAUUUCUUUAGUCGCCUUUUCAAUUCUUGCUUCUUCUGCUUCCAAAGGUAUUACCUUGGUUGGUUCUGAAGGCUCAGUUUCAACUACAGUCUGUUGCUUCGGAGCCUUAGCAACGGAUACUUCCACAGGCGCCUCUGAAGUUUCAGCAGUCUUCUUUGGAGUUGUGCUUGGAAGUUUAAUUGUCUCCAAAACAUCCAACACAUUGACCAUUCUUUUUCUUUUUGGGGUCACUAUUGGCCCCUUUUUUCUUGCUACUUCAAUUUCUACUGAAGGACUUAAAAUUUCUGAUAUUUUUGCUCCCUCAGUUGAUGCUUUUGCUUCUUCCAUCUUUUCUGUCGAUGGUGCUUCGGCCAUCUCUUUGGUUUCUGGUAACAGAAUCUUUGGUUCAUCCAAUUCCUUUGUUGUUGGCGCUUCGGCCAUUCCUGCGACUUCUGGCAGCAGGGUUGGCUCUUCAGCCUCGAUGGCCGGAGAAGUCUCUCCGGUGAAUUCAGGCACCGUGGCUGGUUCAAUAUAGCGUGGCCGAUGUGUGAGAACUUUUAUCCUCUUUCUCUUCGGUGCUGGCUCACUAGGAGCAGCUGCAGCUUUUUCUUUCGCAGAAGUUGUGCCUUUUCUUUUUUGCCCUCGUAUUGGAUAGCGAUAGUCGGGGUAGACGAACCCGAUUGCAUCAAAUACCCGGUUGAGUCUUUUCCUUUUUCGGCCUCCGAAGGCCGCUAACAAAGCAGUAUCAUCGGCCUUCGAGUAUGCCCCAAGCAAUUCAUCACUUACAGUCUCAAUGCUCUUUAACCAAUCAUCAUCCGGUUCAACGAAUUUGUCUCCAUACUUGAAUGUGUACCUUAGCCGGACUAGCCCACCUUCGUCGGUUUCUUUAAUAGUUUCUUUCGGCAUUUCCCAAUUAUCCGCAAGAGGCCACACUCUGAAGGCAAUAUGUUCUUGUGUUAAAUCCCUCGUCCCAAUAAAAGAGCAAACAACUCCGAAGGCUCUCUGGCAUUCUUCGGCUGCUUCAUUCAUUUCCACCUUCGGCCUUCGCAGGCCAAAGCGUUGCCAGAUGGGAUGCAUAAUGAUCUUCUUUACAUCUUCUCGAGAUUUCAAGUCAUUUUUCACGUAAAACCAUUCCGUCAUCCAGUCGCCAGGCCACCUCUUGCGAAAGGUCGGCACUGGGCAGCUUGACCCAGAACGGAGCCGAAGCUAUAACAGCCAAAGUUGUUGUGAUAUUGUUCCUUACCCCAGGGUUUUGUCUCGUAUAACAAUUCGUGUAUAUUGUAGAAGCUCUUUGCAUCAGGUUCCAAGCCUUGGCUCCUCACAGCCCACACGAAAAUAUUCAUCCUUAUGAUCGCUUCGGGGAUAAGUUGGUGAAGGUGGAUUUCAAAUAUCUUCAGCACCUCCACAACAAAACAGCUCAGGGGAAAUCGUAGUCCAGCUUUCAAGAAGCUUCGAAAUACUACAACUUCAUUUUCCUCAGGAGUUGGGCAAGUCUUCUCUCCCUCGUUGGCCCUUACAAUAGACAAAUCCCGGAAAUAUCUUCCCCUCAUGUUGGCAAGAUGACUUUCUUUAAUACUUGAUUUGCCGAAAACUGCAUGGCUUGGUCGCCAAGGUCGAUCUUCGGAGUCUUCGCCACCACUAUCCGCAUCAUAGUUGUCGCUAUCACCAGUAUCUUCAGAUAAACCUUCCAAAAUUUCUUUAGUGAUCUUCUCUGUAUUAGUCUUCGACAUAGAUUGAAGAAAACCCAGAUGCAUCUCUUCAGAAAGACUCAGCUUCAUUUCGGCAACAACCUUCUUCUCCUCAGACAUCUCUUCGGAAUUCUUGCCUCUCGCUUCCGAAGCUUAAUACUAGGGAGGCAACAAAAUAUUUGUGGCCAGAAAAUUAUUUGAGCAGGCAAAACAGAUGGCAAGGGAGUGUGCCGAAUAAAUUGUGGCGAGCCCGUAUUUAUAAACCCAUUAUGUCGGAGACUGGAGGGCCCCAUUUGCCAAUGACUGUUGCUAUUCUAGCAAAAGGAAGGUGUUUUUCGGACCUUCGGCUUAUAGCCUUCGUCCAUUUCGCAAUCUGAAUUCAUCAUUCUGACAAAUUAAUAUUGCGAGGGGCUACUGUUGGGGGCCUUCGGCUUCCAAAGGUCCUCAAAAACAUGUUUUAACAAUGUUUCUGGAGUAAAGUACGUUAACAGGUACCUUCGGAUUCGGAUCAGAGCCACGGUACGAAGAAGCACAAAGGUUGGCGCAGAGCCGAAGCUGUGUGUAGAAGAGCUUCGGAGUAGCGGUGGAAAAGGAAACUGACUUAAAGAUGAAAAACCAGAUUAGACCUCGAAGAGUUAUCAUAGAGUUAUUGAUAAAUGUAAAGGGCAUUAUUGUAAUUUUCCAUGGGCUGCGACCCGUGCCUAUAAAUAGGUGAACAGUAUCCCCGUACUGUUCACGCUGAUUCGACAUUGGCUUUGGCAUCACACUUGUGCUUCUACCUUCUUUACGAGCUGAAGGUACACUUAUAAUUUAAUAUUAUCUUUAUCUUUCCAUCAUAAUAAAAUGGAAAUGAUUCGACAACAUUACACAACUGUUUAUGUUAUCUUCAUGUUUCAUAUGAUCCUUUCUUCAUUAUUAUAUUUUAUGCUGAUGAAGGUAUGUCCUUCAUAACCUUCGCCCGAAAAUCAUUAUAUCCUUAAGGAAAUAAUGCUUAGAAGGACGAAGGAUAUUAAUAUUUAACAUUUUGUGUUGCCUUGUUCUUGAUCCAUAGCAUUUGAGAACAAGUCACCAACAAAUACAGAAUUCACAAACCACAUCCACAAUCAAUACCAUAAUUGUUUCAAACCACAAUCACAUCCAUAAUAAAGUCCAUACAUAGUCCAUAGACAAACUCACUCAUGGCAAGUCUCACUCCUGCGGGCUGUGGGAGUUUUGGCCACUCCCUCCUCCGCCACCAGGAAGGUGGCCACUCCCUCCGGAACCAUGGACGAGGUAGUCUUGGACGUUGACAGCACCCUCCGAUCCCUGAGCAUGUGACACUGAACCCUGCAAUUCAUCAAUCAUUCAAAUAAGGUUGUGUUUUGCUAUCCAUAUACCUAUACAUUGCUAUGUUUGGUCACUAUUUGCAUAAAACUAAACAUGGAACGUCACCUGUGAUCCAUUGUGCUGAGGAGGCUGUGCAUGCAUCCAUGGGUAAUGUUGUGCUGGCCACCCCUGGGGUGGUGGCACCCACCCCGGCGGUGGCGGUGCCAUCCACGCUUGAAGUGGCUGAGAGCCCGGCAGUGGCUGGGAGACCGGUGGCACCCAUCCCGGGGUUGGCUGCGAUCCCUGGGGUGGUGGAGCCGUCCAAGUGCCUGGAGGUGCCUGCGUCCACCCAACACCGGUCCACAGUGGCUGCGACGCUGGAGCUAGCUGAGAUCCCUGGAGUGGUGGCGUAAAUGGCUGCAACUCUGGAGCUUGUCCUGGCCACUGUCCCCAUCCUUGUGCCUGCGAGCCAUUUUUUAUAAUAAAAAAGAGUUGCUAUGGAAUUGAAGUGUUCAGAUAGUGUUACCUGGGGAGGGCAAAAAGCGGGCAAGUUCAUAUCAGGGCCGAGUCGAGAAGUCAUUUCCUGCAAAUGGAUGAAACGUUAGAAUCGCAACAUUAUACUUUGAAUUCAAUAACACGUGAUGAGAUAGAUGAAUUACCUGAAAAUAAGAAGCCAUAUACUGCGUCAGCUGUCCGACCUGCUCCUGCGCUGCUCGAGCUUGCUGCUGUGCUGCUCGAGCCUGCUCCUGUGCUGCUCGAGUCUCCUCCUCCACCUAAGCCUCUCGAGCAGACCUAGAGGAGCGAGAACUCCCUUGACCUAUUGUCCUGUUAUACUCCACAACGCCGGUGCCAAAGGCAAACCUGCAUGAUACACAUAGUUGAGCCAUUAAGUGGACAUAUUCUUGUUAAUGAAAUUGUCGAAUCAAACACAAACACCUCACCUGCCAUGCUUUCUACCCCCACCACUGUGGUACAACGCCGAGGCAUCUAAGUCCGAAUGCAUCCAGUCGAAGUCAGGCCCAUGGCGUUGAGUCAUUUCCUCCCCAUAUGCAUUCUGCAAAGAAAGUUAGAGUUGGAGUUAGACACAAAACAUGCAAUUUAAUUCAUAAAUACAAACUUGUUUACCAUUUUCUCCCUUGCCGCCUCGCUGCAUAGCACAUCAGGGUUCACCGGAUCAGGGCCACGGUGACCACGAACGUAAACCUCCAUAAAACUUGGAGCAACUACACUUUCAGCUUCCUGCAUGAAAAAGAAGAGUUAAACCAUAGAAUUUUCAUAGAUGUAACAUACAAGUUUGAUUUACAUACUUACCAUGCGGCGUGCGGUACCAAGGUGUCCAUCGGCGCCGUACCUGUGCCCCGGUCCUUCAGUGCCACGGUUGGCACGGUGCUUCUGGGACUCUGCAAUCCACUUAGGCGACACCCAUCUCUUAGCCAACCACCUCCAGGCUUCCAUGUCCUUCGCAAGCCAAUCCACAAUGCUCUCCAGGUACUACUCCUCUGUGAGGUAGAUCUCAUUGGCCCCUUUUGAUUUGCUCAUGUUCUGCCCCUUUAUCUUCUUGUAGUAGUAGUUGAUGGUCGUGAUGCACGCAUUGUACAUGGCAUCCUUGAUGAUCUUAUCAGCGCACUUCCGAAAGUGCCUCUUCACACGUGCCCACUGAGCCUGAUCCUCCUCAUUCUCCAAUUGGAACCUCUCCUACAUAUCAACGGAGAUGUUAAGUUAAAGUAAGAUUAUGAGAAGCAAUAAUUCAGUGAAUUGCUUAUAUACGAAAGUAAACUCACCCAGAACUCGUCCCACACAGCCACCUGACAAGUCCUUCAUCUUUGUUCCGAAGUUCCCCCUCCGCUACUACUUUCCCCUGGCUCCCCUGGCUGUACAUAGUCCUUAAGACCCUAGUCGGCCCACUGCAUAGCCGCGAACCUCUCGCCAUUGAGCUCCACCAUGCCAGGGUAGUAGAAGCGACAGAGGCUACCCAACACCGCGUUCACCUUGGGACGUCUGCCUAUACCAUCCCAAGUCAAGUCUUCCCAUGACCUACAAACAUUAAUAAAACAAGUAAACCAGUGCAAUCACGUUCACAUUAAAAAAAUUAACACAACAGAAAUAAGCCCCACCAUUCUCCAUGCGGCCGGAUGACCCUCCUCUCGGCAGGUCUCGGACCAAGCGCAUUGCUCUUCUUAUACCUAAGUAUACAAGUCAAUUCAAUAUGAUGAAAUGAUUAAAAACUAAUAUGAAAUAACAAUCAACAUUAAUUAAUAAUACCUGAAGGACGUAGAAAAAGAACCAUCCGAUGUGUCGCCCGCGCCGCCUGCCCCCAUAGGGUCAACCUCCUCAUCCUGCACAUGAGCCUCCUGCUCACCCUCCUCACCCUGCACAUGAGCAUCCUGCUGAGGAGCCUCCUGCUCACCCUCCUCACCCUGCACUUCGUCUAGACAGUCGAGAAGCUGUUGCUACCUCUGUCGGCUCUAUGAGGUGCCCUAAAAAAGCCCACUGCCCGAGCUGUCCUCGCUGGCCGCGUUGCCCCCACUCCUCCUCGAUCUCCUAUGCUUGAACAUGUUCAACUGUAGAUAAGUUAAUGUCAAACCACAGUAUAUAAAACACAUAAUAUGAAAAUUAAUAAUGUGAAAAUUGCAAUACAUAGCUUAAUUGAUUAACUAAAAGAAACAUACUAAUCAAAAGUCAUCCGCAUCCGAUGAUGCUUCUUCGGCUCGUUGUUUAUUCAUACGCUCUUGAUUUUGUUGGAUCCUUACUGAUCUUCUAAUGACGACAGGUCGUUUGCGCUUUGAGCUAGGUUCUUCAAUUAAGUCGCUUGAAUUGCUACAGAGAUUUUCAAGGCCUUCUCCAUUGGUCACAUGGAAUCGGUGAGCUAUGUCAUGAUUCGACGCCACUUCUGGUUGAAAAACAUCAUCAUCGUUGUCCCUGCUCGUACUCACGUAGUCAGCACUCUCAGGAGCGAAGACUUGUGGGUUGACUUUGAUAGGCUUGGGUGAGGAUAUGGCAGGUAGUACACCUGUUUUGCCUGAUUUGCAAGGACAACAUCGCUCAUACUGCUCGGAAUCCUAGAGCUAUGCUUCACCUCGACAUUACCAUACUUGUCGACACGAGUCCCACUAUGAGCAUCAAACCAGUCACACUCAAAAAACACGACUUUAAGUUCCUUGGGGCCAUCGAAAAUCAACUCUACAAUGUUUUCAAGAACAUCGUAAUAGUCCACUACUUUGUCAUCAUCAACAUAUGAACUUGCCAACACACCACUAUUGGUGGUGGCUGCCAAUGGUCGACUCUUCUCCAAUUUCGCGGUUCGGAAGUGAUAUCCAUUAACAUCAUAGCGAGUAUAGUUCCUGACGGACACAGAGGUAUGUGCCAUUUGCUGCAAGUCUGGGUGCACAGAGUUUUUGGAAACCUAUACAAGGAAUUAGUAUAUGCAUUAUAUCUUCCAAGUCCAAAAUUCAAAGAUUAAGUAUGAACAAUGAGAGAACGACAAUUACUAACAUAAUUACGAAACCACUACAUGAAGUUUGGGCCACCUUUCAACCCAUCACGUCGAAGAUUUUCUAAUUGGAUGGUCGUAGGUUUACUAGUAGAUUUCCAACAUUCUUCAUCAAACAUGCUGGACAUAUUAGAAACAUGGAGAUUACACACUAUAGAAAUUAUGAGAUGAGAAAAUGGACGUAACUAUGAGGAAAACUUGAACGCCUCCUGUGUGCCGUCAAUAUUGCUAUACAUAUAUAGCAUUAGCGUGUUCAAAACUGAUGCUUCAAAGUGAUGUACACUCCCUUUUCCAACUGCUUUACCCGGAUUCGCAAAAAUCUGAAGGGUGCUUUGGUGUGAUUCAUUUUCGACAUGAAGUCGCACUGAAGGCGCAAACACAUUGUUGGAUCGAGCGAAAUACCUGGUUGAGAAUUGAGAUAUCUCCUUAAGGGCAAAAGCCUCAGCAAUACACCCUUCGACUCUAGCCUUGUUGCGAACAGACGCCCUGAGCUUUUUCAACACCCUUUCUAUAGGAUACAUCCACCUGAAUUGCACUGGUACGCCUACCAAAGAUUCCCAAGCCAAAUGCACAAUUAGAUGUUGCAUCACAUUGAAGAAUCCUAGCAGGAAAACCUUUUCAAAUGUACAAAUAAGAAUUGGAAUUUCUUUCUCAAAUUUCUGCAUCAACCUCUUUGAUACCGUCUUUGCGCAUACUUCCCUAUAGAAGUAACUCAGCUCUGCAAAUAUGCUCCAAAGCUCAUCCUUAAAAUAGCCUCGAAACGUUACGGGCAUCAGCCUCUCCAUAAUAAUAUGGUAGUCAUGGCUUUUCAAACCGAUCAAUUUACCGGUCUUCAGAUUGACUGCUCAUUUCAGAUUUGCCGCAUAUCGAUCUGGAAAUUUUAGAUUCUUCAACCACUUAAAUAUUUCUUUCCUUUCAUCCGGCUUGAGGCAGUAAUCAGCUCGCGGCCUACUCUCAUGCCCUUUAUCGCUUACUUUCAACUGGAGCAUCAGCCUCUUACAAAUUUCAGCCAUGUCUUUUCUUGCCUUCAUAUUAUCUUUCGUUUUAUCAGUCACAUCGAAACAUGUGCUUAUGAUGCUUUCAGCAACGUUACGCUCUUGGUGCAUCAAGUCUAUGUUGUGCCGCAUGAUCAAGGCUUUUGCAUAUGGAAGCUCCCAUAUUGAUGAAAUAUGGGUCCAGUUGUGGUCCUCCCCGUAGCCUUGGAACCUAUCAUUUUCUCCUGGCUUCAGUCGAGCAUGCCAUGCCAUUAUCUGCGGUGCAGUUUGCCUCUUUGGUGGCCCCUUUCUGAUUUUGGCACCACUUCUGAAUGCAGUAAGCGAACUCCUGAAAUCAUGCUUGAAUGGAGUACAACGUCGAUGAGCAUCAAAGAAUGACACUUUCCCACCAUUCUUCAAUCUGAAUGCAUCUGUAUCAUUCAUACAUAUGGAACAGCACAACCGACCAUGAACACACCAUCUAGACCAAUCUCCAUACACCAGCAGAUCAUGCACUGACCACAAAUAAGCAGCGCGCAUGGUAAACUCCUUUUCAGUAUGGCUGUCAUAAGCCUUCACACCUCUCCACAAUUGUUUCAGCUCUUCAAUUAAAGGGCGAACAAACAUAUUCAGAUUUGGCCCUAGAUGCUCGGGGCCUAGGAUGACUAGUGCAAGGAACAUGAACUCUUCUUUAUUGACCAACUCAGGAGGAAGAUUAUAUGGCACAAUGAAGACAGGCCAACACGAGUAAGGGCUUGCACUGCUAUUGAAAGGUGUGAAUCCAUCCGUCGAUAGACCAAGCCGUACACUCCUAGGGUCAUUUGCAAAUUCGGGAUCAAACUCGUCGAAUGCCUUCCACGCAUCACCGUCAGACGGAUGGACCAUUAUGUCUGGAUCAGUGAUGAGACGUACACCAUUCUUUGGCCAUGUCAUAUGCAGAGCUAUUUCCUUGUUGAGGAACAACCUUGAAAGCCGAGGAAUGAUGGGCAACCGAUGAAGUUGCUUAGCUGCGACCUUCAUAAUUACCAAUUCACCCUCAUCAUUUGUCACCUCGACAUAUCUAGAAGCUUCGCAAUGCUUACAACGGUCCAGCUUGUCAUCCUCCUCAAAGAAUAGCAUGCAACUGUUGGGACACAUGUCGAUCUUCUCAUAUGUCAUCCCAAGACCAGCCAACAUCUUCUUUGCGAAGUACAUAUUCUUUAGCAACUUAUGAUUCUCCGGGAGAACCUCGCCCAUCAGUUGGACGAUGUCGUUGUAAGCACUAUUUGAAAUGUUGUGCUUCGACUUUAUUGCCAUUAGUCUUGUGAGAGUCCCAAGAACUGACAUCUGAGUGUGCUCGUGCAAUCUCUCUUCUCCCGCGGCGAGUAGCCGAAAGAAUUCCUGAGCAUCGCGUGGAGGCUGCCCCGGCUCCUCAGCGUUCAUUUCAACCUCCCUACCAAGAUCAUGCAACAUGUCGUCCAUCCCAUCAUAAUCGUCAUCAAGUUCCACCUCCGCGUCAACGUGUCCAAUAGACUCUCCAUGUAUGUACCAUACAAGGUAGUUCGGCAUAAACCCACUUUUGCAAAGGUGUUUCUCCAUUUCUUCCUUCUUCUGAGGCCACUUGUUCUCUCAGCGAUUGUGAAAGGGAAAUGUGCCCUUGGGCCAUUUCUAAGUAUUUUUGGUGAUUGAGUGCCAACGCAAGUGUUUUUGUGUUGAUCUAUGCAAUGUGUGGACAAAGUGCAAAUCAUGUCAAAAGGUAUGUUUCUCAGACUUAGUACAUUGUUUUAGAGACUAAUGUAUUGUGUCUAAGUGCUGGAAACAGGAAAAGAACAAUUGGAAAUGUCUUGGCUCGAGCAGCCAAGACUCUGCUCGGUCGGGAGGGAGCACCGGACUGUCCGGUGUGCACCGGACAGUGUCCGGUGCGCCAGGCUGGCUCGUGCGAACUCGCUGCUCUCAAGAUUUCAUCGGCGGCGUACGGCUAUAAUUCACCGGACUGUCCGGUGUGCACCGGACUGUCCGGUGAGCCAACGGUCGGCUGCGCGAUCUGCGCAAGACACGUGGCCGAGCCAACGGUUGGAAGGGAGCACCGGACUGUCCGGUGUGCACCGGACAGUGUCCGGUGAGCCAACGGCUCCCAGGCGCCAACGGUCGGCUACGCCACAGAAGGAAAGAAAUCCACACCGGACAGUGUCCGGUGUGCACCGGACUGUCCGGUGCGCCAGGCGACAGAAGGCAAGAUUUGCCUUCCAGGAAUGCUCUCAACGGCUCCUAGCUGCCUUGGGGCUAUAAAAGGGACCCCUAGGCGCAUGGAGGAGUACACCAAGCAUCCUCUAAGCAUUCCUAAGCACUAAGACAUCGAUUCCGCGCCUUUGAUUCUUUGCGAUAGCAAUUAGAGCUCUAGUUGAGUUGGGAACUCAUUGAGUUGUGUUGUGAGCUCUUGUUGCGACUUGUGUGCGUGGUGUUGCUGUGAUUUCUUGUCUUGAGUGUGUUGCUUAUCCCUCCCUUACUCCAUGCUUCUUUGUGAUCAUCUAAGUGUAAGGGCGAGAGGCUCCAAAGUGUGGAGAUUCCUCGCAAACGGGAGAUAGUAAAGCAAGCAAAACACCGUGGUAUUCAAGUGGGUCUUUGGACCGCUUGAGAGGGGUCGAUUGCAACCCUCGUCUGUUGGGAUGCCACAACGUGGAGUAGGCAAGCGUUGGUCUUGGCCGAACCACGGGAUAAACCACUGUGCCAUCUCUGUGAUUGAUCUCCUGUGGUUAUUGUGUUUUGUUGAGACUCCUCUCUAAGCCACUUGGCAUUAUUGUGCUAACGCCAAAUCAAGCUUUUGUGGAUUAAGUUUCAAGUUUCACAGGAUCACCUAUUCACCCCCCCCCCUCUAGGUGCUCUCAAUUGGUAUCAGAGUCGUUCUCUUCAAGAAGGGACUAAUCGCCCGAAGAGAUGGAUCCUAAGGGAAAGGGGAUGGUGGUCAACAACAACGAGAAGGAGUCUAUCUUCAAUGAGCCGAAAGAUGACAAGCCUACGCACUCGGGCUCGAGCCACAAAAGAAGAGACGGGAAGAAGAAGAAGACUAGGCGCAUCAAGGAGAUAGUCUACUACGACAGCGACGAAUCUUCCUCUUCCCAAAAGGACGACGACGACUACAAGAAAAAGAAAACGGUCAAUUCGAACUUUUCUUUUGAUUACUCUCGUAUUCCUCAAAGUGCAAAUGCUCAUUUAUUAUCCAUUCCACUUGGUAAACCUCCUCAUUUUGAUGGAGAGGACUACGGAUUUUGGAGUCACAAGAUGCGUAGUCACUUGUUCUCUCUCCAUCCUAGCAUAUGGGAGAUAGUAGAGAGUGGAAUGAAAUUUGAUAGCUCGGAUAGCCCUUUGUUUAUCAAUGAACAAAUUCAUAAAAAUGCACAAGCUACUACUGUUCUUCUAGCUUCAUUGUGCAGGGAUGAAUACCACAAAGUGAGCGGCUUGGACAAUGCCAAGCAGAUCUAGGACACCCUCAAGAUCUCACGUGAGGGCAACAACGUCACCAUGCUCACCAAGAUGGAGUUGGUAGAGGGCGAACUUGGGAGAUUCGCUAUGAUAAGGGGGGAGGAGCCAACCCAAACAUACAACCGGCUCAAGACCCUUGUCAACAAGAUAAGGAGCUAUGGAAGCACGCGAUGGACGGACCACGACGUCAUCCGCCUAAUGCUAAGGUCCUUUACUGUUCUUGAUCCUCAUCUUGUGAACAAUAUUCGUGAGAAUCCUAGGUACACCAAGAUGACGCCCGAGGAGAUACUUGGAAAGUUUGUAAGCGGGCGGAUGAUGAUCAAGGAGGCGAGAUACGUGGAUGAUGCAUUAAAUGGCCCAAUCCAAGAGCCUCAAACUAUUGCUCUCAAAGCAACGAGGAGCAAGGAGGCGCUACCUAGCAAGGUGGCACAAAUUGAGGCGGCCGGGCUUAAUGAUGAAGAAAUGGCCCUCAUCAUCAAGCGUUUCAAGAUGGCGCUAAGAGGUCGCAAGGAGCAUCCCAACAAGACCAAGACAAAGGGGAAGCGCUCAUGCUUCAAAUGUGGUAAGAUUGGUCACUUUAUCGCUAAUUGUCCCGAUAAUGAUAGUGACCAGGAAAAGAAGAGUGGAAAAUGGGAAAAGAAGAAGAAUUACAAGAAGGCAAAGGGCGAGGCACAUAUUGGAAAGGAGUGGGAUUCGGAUUGCUCCACGUCCGACUCCGACAACGAAGGACUCGCCGCCACCGCCUUCAACAAGUCAUCCCUUUUUCCAAACAAGCAUCACACAUGCCUCAUGGCUAAGGAGAAGAAAGUAAGUACUCGAAACUCUACUUAUGCUUCUUCUAGUGAGGAUGAGUCUAGUGAUGAUGAUGAAAUAGACUAUUCAUGCUUAUUCAAGGGAUUAGAUAGAUCUAAAUUUGAUAAGAUUAAUGAGUUGAUUGAUGCUUUAAAUGACAAGAAUAGAUUACUAGAAAAACAAGAGGAUCUUUUAUAUGAGGAGCAUGAUAAAUUUGUUAGUGCACAAAAUUCUCUUGCUCUAGAAAUUAAAAGGAAUGAAAUGCUCUCUUGUGAAUUAUCUACUUGUCAUGAAUCCAUCUCUAAUUUAAGAAGUGUUAAUGAUGAUUUGAAUGCUAAGUUAGAGAUCGCUAGUAAAUCUAACUCUUGUGUAGAAAAUGUUGUAAGUUGCACUAGGUGUAAAGAUAUUAACAUUGAUGCUUGUAGUGAACACCUAGCUCGAAUUUCUAAAUUAAAUGACGAGGUGGCUAGUCUUAAUGCCCAACGUAAGACUAGCAAGAGUGAUUUUGAUAAACUAAAAUUUGCUAGUGAUGCCUACACGGUUGGUAGACACCCCUCAAUUAAGGAUGGGCUUGGCUUCAAAAGGGAAGCCAAGAACUUGACAAGCCAUAAGGCUUCCAUCUCCGCCAAGGAGAAAGGGAAGGCCCCUAUGGCUAGUAGUACUAAAAAGAACCAUGCUUUUAUGUACAAUGAUAGAAGACAGUCUUAUAGGAGUUGUAAUGCUUAUGAUGCUUUUGACUCUCAUGACAUGUUUGCUUCUAGUUCUUCCUAUAUGCAUGGUAGAAAUGUGUUUAGAAGAAAUGAUGUUCAUCAUAUGCCUAGGAGAAAUGUUGUCAAUGUUCCUAGGAAAGUUAAUGAACCUUCUACAAUAUAUCAUGCUUUAAAUGCUUCCUUUGCUAUUUGUAGAAAGGAUAGGAAGAUAGUUGCUAGAAAAUUAGGGGCAAAAUGCAAGGGAGAUAAAACUUGCAUUUGGGUCCCUAAGACAAUUGUGACUAACCUUGUAGGACCCAACAAGAGUUGGGUACCUAAGACCCAAGCCUAAAUUUGCCUUGCAGGUUUAUGCAUCCGGGGGUUCAAGCUGGAUUAUCGACAGCGGAUGCACAAACCACAUGACGGGGGAGAAGAAGAUGUUUACCUCCUACGUCAAGAACAAGGAUCCCCAAGAUUCAAUUAUAUUCGGUGAUGGGAAUCAAGGCAAGGUGAAAGGAUUAGGCAAAAUUGCAAUAUCGAAUGAGCACUCUAUAUCUAAUGUGUUUUUAGUUGAGUCUCUUGGAUAUAAUUUGUUAUCUGUUAGUCAAUUAUGCAAUAUGGGAUAUAAUUGUCUAUUCACAAAUGUAGAUGUGUCUGUCUUUAGAAGGAGUGAUGGUUCACUAGCCUUUAAGGGUGUAUUAGACGGCAAACUUUACUUAGUUGAUUUUGCAAAAGAAGAGGCCGGUCUAGAUGCAUGCUUAAUUGCUAAGACUAGCAUGGGCUGGUUGUGGCAUCGCCGCCUAGCACAUGUGGGGAUGAAGAACCUUCACAACCUUCUAAAGGGAGAACACGUGAUAGGUUUAACUGAUGUGCAAUUCGAAAAAGAUAGACCUUGUGCAGCUUGUCAAGCAGGUAAACAAGUGGGAGGAGCACAUCACACCAAAAAUGUGAUGACCACAACAAGACCUUUGGAGAUGCUUCACAUGGACCUCUUCGGACCCGUCGCCUAUCUAAGUAUAGGAGGAAGUAAGUAUGGUCUUGUUAUAGUUGAUGACUUUUCCCGCUUCACUUGGGUAUUCUUUUUGCAGGAUAAAUCUGAAACCCAAGGUACCCUCAAGCGAUUCCUAAGGAGAGCUCAAAACGAGUUUGAGCUCAAGGUGAAAAAGAUAAGGAGCGACAAUGGGUCCGAGUUCAAGAACCUUCAAGUAGAGGAGUACCUUGAGGAGGAAGGGAUCAAGCACGAGUUCUCCGCUCCCUACACACCACAGCAAAAUGGUGUGGUAGAGAGGAAGAACAGGACGCUUAUAGACAUGGCGAGGACGAUGCUUGGAGAGUUCAAGACCCCCGAGCGCUUUUGGUCGGAAGCCGUGAACACGGCUUGCCACGCCAUCAACAGGGUCUACCUUCAUCGCCUCCUCAAGAAGACGUCGUAUGAGCUACUAACCGGUAACAAACCCAAUGUUUCGUAUUUUCGAGUUUUUGGGAGUAAAUGCUACAUUCUAGUGAAGAAGGGUAGGAAUUCCAAAUUUGCUCCCAAAGUCGUAGAAGGGUUUUUGUUAGGUUAUGACUCAAAUACAAAGGCGUAUAGAGUCUUCAACAAAUCAUCGGGUUUGGUUGAAGUCUCUAGCGACGUUGUAUUUGAUGAGACUAAUGGCUCUCCAAGAGAGCAAGUUGUUGAUUGUGAUGAUGUAGAUGAAGAAGAAGUUCCAACGGCCGCAAUACGCACCAUGGCGAUUGGAGAUGUGCGGCCACAGGAACAAGAUGAGCAAGAUCAACCUUCUUCCUCAACAAUAGUGCAACCCCCAACUCAAGAUGAUGAACAGGAGGCGUGUGAUCAAGGGGGAGCACAAGAUGAUCAUGUAAUGGAGGAAGAAGCGCAACCGGCACCUCCAACCCAAGUUCGAGCAAUGAUUCAAAGGGAUCAUCCCGUCGACCAGAUUUUGGGUGACAUUAGCAAGGGAGUAACUACUCGGUCUCGAUUAGUUAAUUUUUGUGAACAUUACUCCUUUGUCUCUUCUAUUGAGCCUUUCAAGGUAGAGGAGGCCUUGCUAGAUCCGGACUGGGUGUUGGCCAUGCAAGAGGAGCUCAACAACUUCAAGAGGAAUGAAGUUUGGACACUGGUGCCGCGUCGUAAGCAAAAUGUUGUGGGAACCAAGUGGGUGUUCCGCAACAAACAAGACGAGCACGGGGUGGUGACAAGGAACAAGGCUCGACUUGUGGCAAAAGGUUAUGCCCAAGUCGCAGGUUUGGACUUUGAGGAGACUUUUGCUCCUGUGGCUAGGCUAGAGUCAAUUCGUAUUUUGCUAGCAUAUGCCGCUCACCAUUCUUUCAGGUUGUUCCAAAUGGAUGUGAAGAGCGCUUUCCUCAACGGGCCAAUUAAGGAGGAGGUGUACGUGGAGCAACCCCCUGGCUUCGAGGAUGAACGGUACCCCGACCACAUGUGUAAGCUCUCUAAGGCGCUCUAUGGACUUAAGCAAGCCCCAAGAGCAUGGUAUGAAUGCCUUAGAGAUUUUUUAAUUGCUAAUACUUUCAAGGUUGGAAAAGCCGAUCCAACUCUUUUCACUAAGACUUGCGAUGGUGAUCUUUUUGUGUGCCAAAUUUAUGUCGAUGACAUAAUAUUUGGUUCUACUAAUCAAAAGUCUUGUGAAGAGUUUAGCAGGGUGAUGACACAGAAAUUUGAGAAGUCGAUGAUGGGCGAGUUGAACUACUUCCUUGGGUUCCAAGUGAAGCAACUCAAGGACGGCACCUUCAUCUCUCAAACAAAGUACACGCAAGACUUGCUAAAGCGAUUUGGGAUGAAGGACGCCAAGCCCGCAAAGACGCCGAUGGGAACCGACAGACACACUGACCUCAACAAAGGAGGUAAGUCCGUUGAUCAAAAAGCAUACCGGUCAAUGAUAGGGUCUUUACUUUAUUUAUGUGCUAGUAGACCGGACAUUAUGCUUAGCGUAUGCAUGUGUGCUAGAUUUCAAUCCGGUCCAAGGGAAUGUCACUUGGUGGCCGUGAAGCGAAUUCUUAGAUAUUUAGUCGCUACGCCUUGCUUCGGGAUCUGGUAUCCAAAGGGGUCUAACUUUGACUUGAUUGGAUAUUCAGAUUCCGACUAUGCUGGAUGUAAGGUCGAUAGGAAGAGUACAUCGGGGACGUGCCAAUUCUUAGGAAGUACCCUGGUGUCAUGGAAUUCUAAGAAACAAACUUCCGUUGCCCUAUCCACCGCUGAGGCCGAGUACGUUGCCGCAGGACAAUGUUGCGCGCAACUACUUUGGAUGAGGCAAACCCUCCAGGACUUUGGCUACAAUCUGAGCAGAGUCCCACUUCUAUGUGAUAAUGAGAGUGCUAUCCGCAUGGCGGAAAAUCCUGUUGAACACAGCCGCACAAAGCACAUAGACAUCCGACAUCACUUUUUGAGAGACCACCAGCACAAGGGAGAUAUCGAAGUGUUUCAUGUUAGCUCCGAGAACCAGCUAGCCGAUAUCUUUACCAAGCCUUUAGAUGAGCAGACCUUUUGCAAGUUGCGUAGUGAGUAAAUGUCUUAGAUUCGCGGAACCUGGAUCGAUCUAUAGCAUACAUGUGUUUAUGCCUUUGAUCAUGUUCCUUAUGCAUUUUGGUGAUUAUUUAUGGUGCUCAAGUUGUACAAGCACUCCCCGGACCUUUCAAGUCCAUGUGCAAGGGAUGCACAAAUUUUGGGGGAGUUGUGCUACAACUUGAUCCUUUGAGACUAACCGUGUGCUUGAGUUUGCUUGUUUUAGUCUCAAAGGAGGUUUGAAAGGGAAAAGGUGGACUUGGACCAUGAAAGACUUCCACUACACUCCGAUGACAGGGUAACUUAUUCCAAGUUCAUCUUAGUACUCUUAUUGCCCUUUUACUCUUAGUUGAAGAUUUUUGGUGAGGCAAUGGGGCUAAAGGGCCAAGGUUGAUCCCGUUUUGGUGCUUGAUGCCAAAGGGGGAGAAAAUAAGGCUAAAGCAAAUAAAUGGAUCAGCUACCACUUGAGAAUUUUGAAAAAGUAGAGUUAGAGCUUUUGUUUUGUCAAAAUUCUCUUAUUGGCUCUCUUUGUCAAAAGUUGGCUUCUCGUGGGGAGAAGCGUUGAUUAUGGGAAAACGGGGGAGUUUUUGAAAUCGUGAAUCAAUUUCUCUUGGAAUGACUCUCCUCAUGUCUUAACAAGUGUGUUUGACUUAGAGAUAGAAAUUUGAGGUUAAUUUGCAAAAACAAACCAAGUGGUGGCAAAGAGUGAUCCAUAUAUGCCAAAAAUGAAUCAAAACAAUUUUGAGUUCUCAUUUGCAUUGAUAUUGCACUUGUUCUAGUUGCUUUAUGUUGUGUUGGCAUAAAUCACCAAAAAGGGAGAGAUUGAAACGGAAAUGUGCCCUUGGGCCAUUUCUAAGUAUUUUUGGUGAUUGAGUGCCAACGCAAGUGUUUUUGUGUUGAUCUAUGCAAUGUGUGGACAAAGUGCAAAUCAUGUCAAAAGGUAUGUUUCUCAGACUUAGUACAUUGUUUUAGAGACUAAUGUAUUGUGUCUAAGUGCUGGAAACAGGAAAAGAACAAUUGGAAAUGUCUUGGCUCGAGCAGCCAAGACUCUGCUCGGUCGGGAGGGAGCACCGGACUGUCCGGUGUGCACCGGACAGUGUCCGGUGCGCCAGGCUGGCUCGUGCGAACUCGCUGCUCUCGGGAUUUCAUCGGCGGCGUAUGGCUAUAAUUCACCGGACUGUCCGGUGAGCCAACGGUUGGCCGGGCCAACGGUCGGCUGCGCGAUCUGCGCAAGACACGUGGCCGAGCCAACGGUCGGGAGGGAGCACCGGACAAUGUCCGGUGCGCCAACGGCUCCUAGGCGCCAACGGUCGGCUACGCCACAGAAGGAAAGAAAUCUGCACCGGACAGUGUCCGGUGUGCACCGGACUGUCCGGUGCGCCAGGCGACAGAAGGCAAGAUUUGCCUUCCAGGAAUGCUCUCAACGGCUCCUAGCUGCCUUGGGGCUAUAAAAGGGACCCCUAGGCGCAUGGAGGAGUACACCAAGCAUCCUCUAAGCAUUCCUAAGCACUAAGACAUCGAUUCUGCGCCUUUGAUUCUUUGUGAUAGCAAUUAGAGCUCUAGUUGAGUUGGGAACUCAUUGAGUUGUGUUGUGAGCUCUUGUUGCGACUUGUGUGCGUGGUGUUGCUGUGAUUUCUUGUCUUGAGUGUGUUGCUUAUCCCUCCCUUACUCCGUGCUUCUUUGUGAUCAUCUAAGUGUAAGGGCGAGAGGCUCAAAAGUGUGGAGAUUCCUCGCAAACGGGAGAUAGUAAAGCAAGCAAAACAUCGUGGUAUUCAAGUGGGUCUUUGGACCGCUUGAGAGGGGUCGAUUGCAACCCUCGUCCGUUGGGACGCCACAACGUGGAGUAGGCAAGCGUUGGUCUUGGCCGAACCACGGGAUAAACCACUGUGCCAUCUCUGUGAUUGAUCUCCUGUGGUUACUGUGUUUUGUUGAGACUCCUCUCUGAGCCGCUUGGCAUUAUUGUGCUAACGCCAAAUCAAGCUUUUGUGGAUUAAGUUUCAAGUUUCACAGGAUCACCUAUUCACCCCCCCCCCUCUAGGUGCUCUCAGAUUGCAAGGACACUUCACUAGAUGACCAGUUGCAUCUUUGAAAGCGUGCUCAAGAAAAGCCUUUGUUACAACCAUCCAUUCAUUCGAAUGUGCCCCAUCCUUUCUCCACCCAUCAUACAUCACCCUCCGAUCACCGUCCAUUUCAAACGCUAAACAAAAGACAAAGAACAUCAACGAUCGUCUGUGGCUUAGGUGAACUCCCUAUUAGGUAAAGGCCCUAAACCCACCCAAGAGUGUAGGUCGAUGCUUGUGAUUUGUGACGUGUAGCCUACGAUUGCCGCGAAAUUUCGACAGCAUAACCCCGCUGCUCUCCAAAGCACACGCCUGAACAUGGUGUGUUGGAGAACAACUGGGUUACACAACCGAAAUUCCACGUCAAUAGUAAGGCACAUGUCACAAAUCACAAGCAUCGGCCUACACUCUCAGGCUGUCCAAAAUACAUGGACAAUUCCGGAACGGCGAACCUCACAAGCCAAUGAAACGUUCGCUGUUCCCGAACGGGUGGCGCAUACGGUUCGCUACGGUUAACGAUUAAAACUAAACUCUAAACAUUAAAAAAUAACUCAGAGACAAAUAUGAAUUUGAAUUAAAGCAAUCAACAGUUAUUUUCGUAAUUAUUCUCAUUGGUUAGUGGAGAGGGGAAGAUUAGUGCUCCCCCUCUGCAGGGGGAACGUUUCUCUCACCCCCGCGAGAGGGCCCCCUGUAACAUCCCAAAAUUUCAACCCAAGGUUUGGAACCCUAAUCUCCUAACCCCCCCCUAAUUUUUUAUCUCUCCCUAAACUCCAUCCCAUAGGUCAUUUCAUCAUAUGCAUACACUUUGAUUGUUAGAAGCACCUCACAUAGAUUAUUUUUAGCACCUAAGAUUAUUUAGCUAGUUAUUGUUCAAAAGAAAAAGAGGUAAAAGGAAAAACUCUCCCCCCUCGGCUAGGCUGCUUCCGGCCCAAGCCACUGCCCCCUCUCGCGCGUCCGCCCCUCCCCCUCAACCUCUCGCGGCCCAAGCAGCCCAGCAUCGCGCGCCCGCGCCCGCGCCUGACACCCCGGUCCCACCCGUCAGCCGCGCUCCCCUCCCGCGCGCCGCUCCCGCUGACCGGUCGGCCCCACCCGUCAGCUGCCCCUCCCCUCUCCCUCUCUCGUCGCUCUUCCGCUGGCAGCCCGGGCUCGCCCGUCAGACCCCUCGUCCCACCCAUGACUUCAACGGCACGUUCGCCGCCGACCACCGUCUGCCCCGUCUCCUCGCCAUUAACACGCUCACCAGCUCGGUUGGCACCAUGCGCCCCCGCUCACUGUGCCCGAGCCGUCCCGUCGCCAGUUUGCGCCAUCACCACCAUCAUGGCGAGCUCGUCGGUGCUCGCCACCCCUCCUCCCUUCCCCCCCUCCCCGGGCGCCUAUAAAAAGGACCGCCCAAGCUCUGCCUUCCCCCACACCACCUCGGCUACCUCCCCCUCCCCUUCCUCGAGCUCGUAUGAGCCAGCGCCGCCACCGUCCCUCCGUCUCCGGUGUGCUCCGUCCUCCUCUCUCUAGUGGCGUUUGAUCAAAUUGCUCUAGCUCUUAAGGUCCGUCGCUCUGUCACAAGCCUAGCGCACACCUGCUCGUCGCCUAUUGCGCCCGGUGGCCUCGCCGGCGACUUCACCGCCGCGAGCGACCGCCACCCGCCGUUGACCGGCCACCCCAGGCCUCCACCGGUCAAAUUGACCCCACCUCUGUGACCCCCUACCCCCGCUCGUGCUUUGCCACCACCCCGUCCACCCAGAACCGGACCACCGGCGAGGAACCGCCGUCGGGUUCACCGGCGACCGGUUCUCCCCCGCCGCGGACCGCUCUCCUCCUUCCCCCCCCUGACGUCGUCUCCCCUCUCCCUCUCUGGCGCGUGGGCCCGUGCCCACGGCAUCCGCUGUGCCUUCCUCCGCUCCUCAUGGGCCGACUGGGCCCAUUUGGCCGCGACGCCGCGCGCCCGCGCCCGACCAGGCCGAAAUCCCCCCCUCGGCCCAGUUAACCUGGAAUUCCUUUUCUUUUUCCUUUUCCCAAUUCUUUUUCCCAUUUUCACAUAUAUAUUUAUAUGUUGAUAUUUUAUACACCAAAAAUAGUUUAAAUAAAUUAUAGGACACAAAAAUAAUAAGGUAUAAUAAUGGGCACACCCCCACUAAGUCACCAUGAUUGAUGUAUUGUUCCUUAUCUAUGCUUGUUAGCGGAAGAGGGAUCCGAUCCUCCGGAAUUUGUAGCUCCGGAAGAAGGGCAGGAACCCGCUCGGUCAACUGGAAUGUGUAUUAUCCAUAUGGGAGAUCUUCCAAUCGAGAAGAUCCAUCGAUCUGAGACGAAGAGAAAGGGCCCAUUUUCUUUACUUAUUCAGUUAAACCAAGGAUUCGUUAUGGAAAUAGAUAGCAACAUAAUUUACCUAUUCUCUCUACCACUACCUAAGCCGGGAUUAAGGGAUGGAAUGAUUGCAUUGUGAGCAGAGAGAUAGCCCCACAUUAACAAACAUCUUUUGAGCACAAAAUAUGGGAUGAGAAAAAGGGGCAUGGUUUUGACCUAACGAUGUUUUCAAAAAGUGUGCGAUGACGGGUAUUCACCCUCAUCACCUGGUGAGUGGGAUGAUCAGGGACUCCCUGGUUUAGGGGAGGGCCUAAGGUGAUGGCUCAGCUGGUUUAGGUGUGAGCAGAAGGAUUGUCCCCUCAUAUAAGGACCGGUUUGUCAUCCUUCACUAACUGUACUCAGGAAAAGUACAACCACUCGAGGCUGUGUGGGCAGUCACUCGAUCUGAACUCGUACGGUCCAACCCCAGGGUUAUGAAGGCUGGGGAGCUCUGGGAGGAUAAGGAGGGGGAAUGUUUUGUCCGGUUUGGACAUGGCGGUGGCCUGACUCCUUCCAGUAUAACCGUUAAGGUUAGGACGUGCGAGGAAAGAAAGAGAUUCGGAUUUGGAUCUCAUUGGCCAUGAUAUCGCAGAGCCGGACUAGUGGGUAAAGUGUACCCCUCUGCGCAGAGUUCAAACCUAUUCGAAUAGUCCGUGUCCACUGGAAUGGAUGAGUCUGGUGUGGUAUGACAAUUAGUGUUUUACAACAUCUGUGAACAGGGAAAUAUGUGUGUGUGAGUGUGUCUCUGGAAAAGAAAAUGAUGCCAUGGGAGCAGGAAGCUCAGUGGUGGUUGAGCAAUGUGUUACUUCUAUUUCUUCGGGAAGAAAACCCUAAAAAGUAUUGUCUUUCUCUGAGAAAAAGAAGAGUGACUUCAACCCCACCAUAUAAAGCAUGUAUGAUAUAGGUCUCUUUCUCUUUACGGGAGCGGGGUGGGCUUGUGGAAUACCUAGUGUAUUCACCCAGAUUUAUUUAUGUUUUUCAGCAGCUGAAGACUUCUUUUCUGCUAUGCUUGAUUGAGGGGGUUGUGUCUUCACCCAGUUCUGCCUGUGGCUUGGCUAGUUUAUCUUCUACUGCGCUUCGUAUUUCUAGCUCUCUCGAGCUUGUACUCUGGUAUUGUAAUACCAUUUAUUCGAACUCUGUACUAUUUGAAGUAAGGAAUGUGGUUACUAGCCUCCUGGGACUAGUAAUUGUAUCACAUUUGAGUCCCAAAGGAUUGGGGCGCUUCAGGUGGUAUCAGAGCCAUAGGACUAGCCGUAGAUCGCAGCCCUGACCUUAAAAGUUGCCUUAACAAGAAAACACCUCUUACCCCUAAGAAAAACCUUCUCUCCUUUCCCCGAUAUUAACAGACCCUUCUUUUCUCCUACUAGAUGGAAGGCUCUUGGGUCAUUAGAACAUCCUACUGCUCAGAGGAGGAAGGAUUCCCUCAUCUCUUACAGAGCUCCGCGCUACGCAUGGGGAUCCGCAAGAAGCCGAAAUAUGUCUGGAAAGAAUACCGAGAAAACGGAGUUGAGAAGUGCUUUAUGGCGGUCUACCUGGGAGAAAGCCGAAGUUACCCAAACCACCCUCCCUUCCAAGUCACCUCCAUCGGGCACCGCUUCCCAGACACUUGCCAAAAUGUUGCCCGAAAAGCCCUUAAACAGCUAUGCCAAAACUACAACAGAGAGCUCUUUGAAACCCCCCCCCUUCGUUACUUCCCACCUAGCAACAAAAAUACCCCCACCUAGAGGAAAAAACUUCAGGCCCUAUCAGGGAGAGAUCCUACCGAGGAUGACCCCACCAUCGUCUACAUGGCCGGAUAUCUCCAAACUCUCGAUAACCACUACGACAACCUUUCCUCCCACUGCACCCACCUAAACUCCUGGGUGGAAAGCUUAGAGCAACAGGUCAAGGAACUUAAAAAGGAGAAGGUGUCCCUCCAUGAGUGUCUCGAUAUAGCAGAAGGCGAGGAGGCCAACACUCGUGAAGCCUACCGAACCCUGAAGAUGGAUUACGAUAAGAAGCUAAAGAAGCUCGCGCCCACGAAGAAAAUCCAAAAGAAGACCAAGAGCCAAGGAUGUCAGACUCAGCGGAAGAAGAAAGCCCCUCCAGCACCACCCCCGCCAGGAUAGAGAACUUGUUCGAUGUCGAGGAUAUGUCCCUAGCUAGCCUUGAUGACCUUCGCAAGGAAUUUGGGGACACUUUAGAAAAGGAGUUCGGAAGUACCUCAGAGAGCGCUAGCGUGUAGUGCGACUUGUAGUAGUUGUAUGCUUGUAAUGAACUGAUGUAAUGAAUAAAAUGACUUGGUUGAAAAAAUUGGCAUAUGCAUAAUAGUAACUCUCUCCCCCUGGCAGAUGGCUUUAGAUAAAACCACGCCUACCGCCUCCGGGAUUGGAGCAGGGUUUCCCCUAAGAGCUGAAAGAGAAGCCGAUGGAGAAGGGAGUGAGACCCACCUCCCCGCACCUCCAGAGCUACCCUUAGAUUUAGCCCAAGUUCUAGCCAACCAAACCCGACUCAUUGAGGUCCUCACUAGAAGUCUGGAGAAUCAAUGCCCGAUUGGUGGAAGACCACAAGACAGGAUGGGAGAUUUUCUGAGGCUCAAGCCUCCCACAUUCGCUGGAUCUAGCAAUCCCCUCGAUGCUGAUGAUUGGUUGCGCACGAUUAAAAGGAAGUUAGAAGCCAUCGGAUGCCCGGAGAAUUAGCGUGUUCAAUUGGCUGCUCAUCAACUUUCCGAAAUGGCCUUAGCUUGGUGGGAUACCUUCAACACUGCCAUCAGAGAUGCUACCUGGACAGAGUUUGAAACUGCUUUCCAAGAGCACCAUGUGCCCCAAGGGAUCGUUCAGCUCAAGGAAGAUGAAUUCUGGGAACUAACUCAAGAUGGAAGAUCGGUCAGUGAAUACAUGCACAAAUUCACAGAAUUCGCCUGCUACGCGCCGGAUGACGUCAGCACCGAAGUCAAGAAGAUGGCCCGCUUUUUGAAGGGGCUCAGACCAGAACUCAAGACCAUCCUAGCCAGCCAAGAUUUCCUCAGCUUCUCGCACCUCUCAAACAAAGCCAUACAAGUGGAGAGGGCAAGGGAAUAAGAAAAAGGUCACCUCAAGAGGAAAUUCCAAGUCCUCCGAGCUCAGCAGCAAGACCGGCACCAGAGAACUCGAUCCUUUGGGUUUCCACCUAAGGGACCAAGCUUCAUUAGACCAACUGGACCCACUCCGUCACAGUUCAGUCAGCAGAGUUAGAGCUCCUUUCAUGCCCCCUCGGUUGCAAAUGCAUGUUGGCACUGCGGAGACCCCAGUCACUUCAAGAACAAUUGCCCCCAGUUGAAGGCAUCAGGACCUGCUUACUCCAACUCGGUGAAUGGCCCCAAGAAUACCUCAGCACCCGCCCCCAAGGCGCCCUCCUCCAUCAGCCAGCAGAACAAGACCCAGUAUCAAGGAAGGGCACGAGUAAAUCACGUCGAUGCUCAGGAGGCUCAGCAAGCUCUGGGAGUAGUGCUCGGUGAGUUCCUUGUUGAAUUUACUCUCGCUACUGUAUUUUUUGAUUCAGGAGCAUCCCAUUCUUUUAUAGCCACUAGUUUUGUGGAAAAGCAUGGCAUCCCCUCUACCCCUCUAGAGAUUCCCUUGGUCACCCAAACCCCAGGGUCGGACCUUUUAUGCCAGCUCAAAUGCUCCCAAGUUAGAAUUCUUUUAAGUGGGGUAGUGUUCUUGCCAGACUUAACCGUCUUGCCAUCCCAAGGGAUUGAUGUGAUCUUAGGAAUGGAUUGGUUAACCAAGCACAAAGGUAUCAUAAGUUGCACAAACAAGACAGUCCUUCUCACAGACCACCAAGGAAAGUCAGUCUCUUGUCAGACUCAGCCACCCGCCAAUGAUCCAAUGAUGUUUAAUCUAGCAACAGAAAGCAUAUCAGUGGUAGAAGAAUUCAUGGAUGUAUUCCCAGAAGAAUUGCCAGGAAUGCCGCCAGAAAGAGAAGUGGAAUUCUACAUAGAUCUGAUUCCUGGUACGGCGCCCAUCGCAAAGAGACCAUACCGCAUGGCUCCUACCGAGUUAGCAGAAUUAAAGCUCCAAAUCUCAUAUCUCCAACAAAAAGGGUACAUCCGUCCCAGCUCAUCCCCUUGGGGAGCACCAGUCCUUUUCGUCACUAAGAAGGAUGGAAGUAUGAGGAUGUGUAUUGAUUACUGAUCUUUAAAUGAAGUCACAAUCAAAAACAAGUAUCCACUCCCUCGAAUCGACGACCUCUUCGACCAGCUUCAAGGGGUCAAAUACUUCUCCAAGAUAGACCUGAGGUCUGGUUAUCACCAGCUGAGAAUCAAGGAAGCAGAUAUUCAGAAGACUGCAUUUGUCACCCGGUACGGACAGUAUGAAUUCACAGUGAUGCCUUUCGGACUGACAAACGCACCCGCCUUUUUCAUGAACCUCAUGAAUAAGGUAUUUAUGGAAGAGCUAGAUAAGUUCGUCGUAGUCUUCAUUGACGACAUCCUUAUCUACUCCAAGAAUCGCGAAGACCAUAAGCGUCACCUCCGGACCGUCCUUGGAAGACUCAGGGCACACCAACUUUAUGCUAAGCUCAGCAAAUGUGAAUUCUGGUUAGAAAAGAUAGCCUUCCUUGGGCAUAUCUUGACUGCAGAAGGAAUAGAAGUAGACCCGUCCAAGGUAGAAGCAGUAUCAAAAUGGAAGCAGUCGUCCAACGUCAGUGAAGUUCGAAGCUUUCUGGGAAUGGCAGGAUAUUACUGUCGCUUUAUCAAGGGAUUCUCCAGUAUAGCAAGACCUAUGAUCGAGCUCCUCAAGAAAGACAAUAAGUUUGUGUGGACCCCAAAGUGUGAGGAAAGUUUCCAGAUCAUAAAGAAGAAGCUCACGACCGCGCCCGUUUUAACACUACCGGAUAUACACUAGGAUUUCGUCGUCUUCUGUGAUGCCUCAAGACAAGGCUUAGGGUGUGUUCUGAUGCAAAACGAGAAAGUCAUUGCUUUUGCAUCGUGCCUACUCAAGCCGCAUGAGUAGAAUUAUCCCACCCAUGAUUUGGAAUUGGCAGUCAUAGUGCAUGCCCUGAAAAUAUGGAGGCACUACCUAAUUGGGAACAAAUGUCACAUCUUCACCGAUCACAAGAGUCUGAAGUAUAUAUUCACUCAGCCAGAUCUCAACCUCCGUUAGAGAAGAUGGCUGGAACUGAUCAAAGAUUAUGACCUUGAGAUUCAUUAUCACCCCGGAAAGGCCAACGUGGUAGCAGACGCCCUCAGCCGAAAACCUUUCGGGAUAAAGGGAACCAACUUUUUAGAAGAUUGGAAGAAGGAAUCAGCUCAGCUGAAUGCAUGUUUGGGAAACGACGGUAGCCUAGAAGUCAAACCAAUGCUAGAAGACCUCAUAUGCAAAGCUCAACGCCUGGACUCAGAGACAGCAAGACUUAUGAAAAAAGCUCGCAAACAACAACUUCCGAACCUUAGGACAGAUGAACAAGGAGUCCUUUGGUUCAAGAACUGUCUAUGUGUACCAAAAGGGGAGGCACGAGAAGUCCUGCUCGAUGAAGCUCACAACUCAGCCUACUCCAUCCACCCAGGAACCACCAAGAUGUACCUAGACAUCAAAACCAGAUACUAGUGGAGAGGGAUGAAGAAAGAGAUAGCAAAGUAUGUGGCUCGGUGUGACACUUGCCAACAAACGAAAGCCGAGCACCAGAAGCCUGCAGGCCUAUUGCAACCCCUUCCAGUGCCCGAAUGGAAGUGGGAGGAGAUAGGCAUGGAUUUUGUAACCGGACUACCCUGGACGCAAAAAGGGAACAACUCUAUCUGGGUAAUAAUAGACCGUCUUACCAAGGUAGCCCACUUCAUCCCAGUGAAAACUACCUUUGGAGGAGCCACCCUUGCACGGAUUUAUCUUAAAGAGAUAGUCAGACUCCAUGGCAUCCUAAGGAAGAUAGUGUCAGACAGAGGAACCCAGUUCACCUCCAAAUUUUGGACGAGCCUUCAGAAAGCUAUGGGCACCAAGCUAGAUUUUAGCACCGCCUACCACCCCUAGACAGAUGGUCAGACAGAAAGGGUCAACAAGGUCCUCGAAGAUUUAUUAAGAACUUGUGUGUUAACGUUCGAUAGAAGCUGGGAGUCCAGUUUGCCUUAUGCAGAGUUCUCGUAUAACAACAGCCAUCAGGCCAGUAUCAAGAUGUCACCGUUUGAAGCAUUGUAGGGACGAAAAUGCAAGACCCCUCUCAUGUGGUCCAACGUAGGGGAAAAGACACUAGAAGGGCCUGCCUUUGUUAAAGAGGCUGAAGAGAAAGUUACCCUGAUCCGCAAAAGAUUACUUGAAGCUCAGAGUCGGCAGAAAAGUUAUGCGGACAACAGGCGGAGAGAACUCAGAUUUGAGGAAGGAGACUUCGUCUACCUCAAGGUCUCCCUGAUGCGUGGUGUCAGAAGGUUCCAGGUGAAAGGAAAGCUAGCACCGCGAUUCGUCGGCCCCUAUCCCAUCAUUGGCAGAGUGGGACCCGCAUCGUACCGUCUUGAAUUACCAGAAUCCAUGUCUGAUAUCCAUAAUGUGUUUCAUGUGUCCCAGCUCCGCAAAUGCCUGCAAGUACCAGAAAGUCACAUCGAAGAAGAGGCAAUCCGGAUUCAGAAAGAUCUUCAGUACCGAGAGAAGCCAGUAAAGAUUCUGGACUCAGUAGUCCGGAAGACCCACAACUCAGAAGUGAGGCUCUGUAAAGUUCAGUGGAGCAGAGAAGGAGAAGAGGAAGCUACCUGGGAAAGUGAGGCCUCUUUGAGGAGGGAAUACCCUUACCUUUUCCCAAAUCCAGUCUAAAUCUCGAGGGCGAGAUUCCUUUAAGUGGGGUAGGUCUGUAACAUCCCAAAAUUUCAACCCAAGGUUUGGAACCCUAAUCUCCUAACCCCCCUAAUUUUUGUAUCUCUCCCUAAACUCCAUCCCAUAGGUCAUCUCAUCAUAUGCAUACACUUUGAUUGUUAGAAGCACCUCACAUAGAUUAUUUUUAGCACCUAAGAUUAUUUAGCUAAUUAUUGUUCAAAAGAAAAAGAGGUAAAAAGAAAUAGAAAUAGAAAUAGAAAAUAGAAAUGAUAAAUAGAAAAUACAAAAAGAAAAAAAAAAGUAAAAACUCUCCCCCCCUCGGCUGGGCCGCUUCCGGCCCAAGCCACUCCCCCCUCUCGCGCGUCUGCCCCUCCCCCUCUUCCUCCCGCGGCCCAAGCAGCCCAGCAUCACGCGCCCGCGCCCGCGCCUGACACCCCGGCCCCACCCGUCAACCGCGCUCCCCUCCCGCACGCCGCUCUCGCUGACCGGUCGGCCCCACCCGUCAGCUGCCCCCUCCCCUCUCCCUCUCUCCUCGCUCUUCCGCUGGCAGCCUGGGCCCACCCGUUAGACCCCUCGUCCCGCCCAUGACUACACCGGCUCGUUCGCCGCCGACCACUGUCUGCCCCGUCUCCUCGCCAUUAACGCGCUCACCAGCUCGGUUGGCACCAUGCGCCCCCGCUCACUUUGCCCGAGCCGUCCCUUCACCCCCCCCCCCCCCUCGCGCCUGCCCGAGCCGUCCCGUCGCCAGUUUGCGCCAUCACCACCAUCAUGACGAGCUCGUCGGUGCUCGCCACCCCUCCUCCCUUUUCCCCCCCCCCCCCUCCCCGGGCGCCUAUAAAAAGGACCGCCCGAGCUCCGCCUUCCCCACACCAGCCUCGGCUACCUCCCCCUCCCCUUCCCCGAGCUCGAUUGAGCCAGCGUCGCCGCCGUCCCUCCCCUCUCUGGUGAGCUCUGUCCUCCUCUAUCUAGUGGCGUUUGAUCAAAUUGCUCUAGCUCUUAAGGUCCGUCGCUCUGUCACAAGCCUAGCGCACACCUGCUCGUCGCCUAUUGCGCCCGGUGGCCUCGCCAGCGACUUCGCCGCCGCGAGCGCCCGCAACCCGCCGUGGACCGACCACCCCAGGCCUCCACCGGUCAAAUUGACCCCACCUCCAUGACCCCCUACCCCCACUCGUGCUUUGCCACCACCCCGUCCACCUAGAACCGGACCACCGGAGAGGAACCGCCGUCGGGUUCACCGGCGACCGGUUCUCCCCCGCCGCGGACCGCUCCCCUCCUUCCCCCUGACGCCAUCUCCCCUCUCCCUCUCUGGUGCGUGGGCCCGCGCCCACGGCGUUCGUCGCGCCGUCCCCCGCUCCUCAUGGGCCGACUGGGCCCAUUUGGUCGCGACGUCGCACGCCCGACCAGGCCAAAAUCCCUCCCCCCCUCGGCCCGGUUAACCUGGAAUUCCUUUUCUUUUUCCUUUUCCCAUUUCUUUUUCCCAUUUUCACAUAUAUAUUUAUAUGUUUAUAUUUUAUGCACCAAAAAUAGUUAAAAUAUAUUAUAGGGCACAAAAUAAUAAGGUAUAAUAAUUGGCACACCCCACUAAGUCACCAUGAUUGAUGUAUUGUUCCUUAUCUGUGUUUGUUAGCGGAAGAGGGAUCCGAUCCUCCGAAAUUUGUAGCUCCGGAAGAAGGGCAGGAACCCGACCCUCCGAGAUAAAUCUUUUGUGCCAAGAAAGCUUCGACGAAGGCAAGUCCAUCCUUCCCUUGAUGCAUAAUUUACCUAUUCUCUCUACCACUACCUAAGACAGGAUUAAGGGAUGGAAUGAUUGCAUUGUGAGCAGAGAGAUAGCCCCGCAUUAACAAACAUCUUUUGACCACAAAAUAUGGGAUGAGAAAAAGGGGCAUGGUUUUGACCUAACGAUGUUUUCAAAAAGUGUGCGAUGAAGGGUAUUCACCCUCAUCACCUGGUGAGUGGGAUGAUCAGGGACUCCCUGGUUUAGGGGAGGGCCUAAGGUGAUGGCUCAGCUGGUUUAGGUGUGAGCAGAAGGAUUGUCCCCUCAUAUAAGGACCGGUUUGUCAUCCUUCACUACCUGUACUCAUGAAAAGUACAACCACUCGAGGCUGUGUGGGCAGUCACUCAAUCUGAACUCGUGCGGUCCAACCACAGGGUUAUGAAGGCCGGGGAGCACCGGGAGGAUAAGGAGGGGGAAUGUUUUGUCCAGUUUGGACAUGGCGGUGGCCUGACUCCUUCCGGUAUAACCGUUAAGGUUAGGACAUGCAAGGAAAGAAAGAGAUUUGGAUUCGGAUCUCACUGGCCAUGAGAUCGCAGAGCCGGACUAGUGGGUAAAGUGUACCCCUCUGCGCAGAGUUCAAACCUAUUCGAAUAGUCCGUGUCCACUGGAAUGGACGAGUCUGGUGUGGUAUGACAAUUAGUGUUUUACAACAUCCGUGAACAGGGAAAUAUGUGUGUGUGAGUGUCUCUGGAAAAGAAAAUGAUGUCACGGGAGCAGGAAGCUCAGUGGUGGUUGAGCAAUGUGUUAUUUCUAUUUCUUUGGGAAGAAAACCCUAAAAAGUAUUGUCUUUCUCUGAGAAAAAGAAGAGUGACUUCAACCCCACCAUAUAAAGCAUGUAUGAUAUAGGUCUCUUUCUAUUUACGGGAGCGGGGUGGGCUUGCGGAAUACCUAGUGUAUUCACCCAGAUUUAUUUAUGUUUUUCAGCAGUUGAAGACUUCUUUUCUGCUAUGCUUGAUUGAGGGGGUUGUGUCUUCACCCAGUUCUGCCUGUGGCUUGGGCUAGUUUAUCUUCUACUGCGCUUCAUAUUUCUGGCUCUCUCGAGCUUGUACUCUGUUAUUGUAAUAACAUUUAUUCGAACUCUGUACUAUUUGAAGUAAGGAAUGUGGUUACUAGCCUCCUGGGACUAGUAAUUGUAUCACAUUUGAGUCCCAAAGGAUCGGGGCGCUUCACCCCCGAAGGGGAGCCGUGGAACCGAGGGGGAGCAGCCGGGGCACCCCAUGCCUGACAGGAGAGGGGGUCAGGCACGGUUGGAGAGAGAGCCUAACGAGCUACGACUCAACCAUGACUGUGCAUGCCAACUGAGAAGCACAGGUUGUUCGCUUCGGAUUAAAACAAGUUAUUUGAAUUGCUGCAGUUAUAAUUUAUAGAGAUAAAAUACCGUAGAAAUAAUAAAAUGGGUAUGGAUUAAAGCCAAGUGAAUAGGCACACGCUAGCAACACUAUAUGCUUCUACAGACUCUGCGUAUGCAGCACGUACACACGCGACACAUGGGACUCUAGUACACCAUUUUCAGUCUAUAUCUAUCAUAAUGUUCUAGUACAUAGGGCUCAUUUGGUUGACGCCUGGCCUAGAGCGGAUAGGCAGCUCAAUCUAGCCCAAGAAUCCAAAAUCGGACGUCUUAGAUUGUUGUCUGGGCCAAAUAGGUUUUUCAGUCUGUGAACUGCUCAUAGUCUUUAUUGUAAGUCUUACGCACACCAAAACAUGUAGAUUGUUUGGUAUGGCUUUGGCUUCUCUUCAAAAGCAGCUUCUCUAAUAUUUUUUAACAAAUUGUUUGGUAAAACGGCUCCUCUUAGCGCAAGAGAAGAGCAAGUUGGGGAAUGAGGAGAGGAGCCGCUAGAAGCCACUGAGCUAGUUUUUUUACUCCGACUUCUCUCUAUAAAAUUAGCUCCGACUUAUAGUGUUCUUUGUUAGAAGCUCAUUUUUAAGACCGUUUGGAAGAACUUCUACAGAAGCCGAAGCCUGUUUGAGAUCCAUCUCAAACUAGGCCCGUAGGUCACAAAGAAUAAUUGCUACAUGUUAUUACAUCAUUUCAUCGGCACGUGGAACUAAACACACCAAAUUUUAAAAAGUUAUUCUUGUGUUCCAAAUUACUAGGCAUUUUAGUAUUUUUAGACAAAAUUGAAUUUACAAGUGCAUAACAAAAUUUAUGUACCUACAAAAUCAAAUAUCUGUACGUACAUGAUGUUCCACUUAGGAUGCAUUUGGGAGAUGGCGUCCACGAACAAAUAGUAUUUGGUUCACGAGUGAGUUGGAUAUGAAUAUCUUGACAGAACACCUAGAUGCUAGAUGUCCUUUCUACCAAACAAAUUGCCUAACAAGUAAUUUUAUCUCAUCUACUCUUAUUUAACAAAACAGACUAAUAAUUUAUUCCAUCCAUCCAAUCAAAUAGACAACAUAGCUAUAUGUAUCUCCAAAUUCAUGAACUACCAUAUCUAAUCUACUCUUGCCCUCAAACGAAAGACAAUUAGCAAAGGCAAACUCCACUCCACCGUAGUGCAUAUCUCUAUUGGUUUUCCUUAUCUAAACAAUGGCCAGUGUUUUAAGCUAGCCAAAGGUAUGUUAUUAUCAUGACAGUUAACAAAGUAUAGUAUUUAAACUCAUGGCUUCGAGAAACAUUGUUGACAAACAAACCUAAAAAGUUCUUUGCGCAUGAACAGGUAGAAAGCGUGUUCAGGAGCUCUGAAUCAAGCGGCGGCUGGGUUACCUGAGACGAGCGAGGCCGCGAGCUCGAUGGGCGAGCGAAGCGAGGGGCGGGCGCGGCGUUGGGCGGCGCGGCGAGGGGCACGGCGACGUGUGGGCACGGCAACGGGACGUGUGGGCACGGCGCAGGGGCGUGUGGGCGGCGGCACGACGACGGCACGGCGGCAGGCGUGUGGGCACGGCGGCGGCGGGCGUGGGAUUCAAAUCGAGCGACCAGGGGAGGGGACGAUUUAGGGGCCGGGUCCCUUUAUUUUCGUCGGUCGGACUGUGGCCGACGAAAAUAGUGGUCGGUCAAGAGGUUAUUUUCGUCGGCAAGGGCCCGGCCCACGAAAAUAUUCCACAUUUUCGUCGGUCCAGAGGCCGACGAAAAUAACUGCCGUAUUUUCGUGGGCCGACCGACGAAAAUAUUCCAGCCCACGAAAAUUUAUGUGUUUCCUGUAGUGCCUGGUUGGUUUUAGUGAUUAAUGACAACGUAAUGUUAUAUGUGACUAACGUGUGUUUUGCACAGACAAAUGGUAAGUUAGGUCGCAUUGCAGGUAGAUGUACUACAACGGUGAAAACAAUCCCGGAGAUAAGAACUUGAAGCGACGAAACACAAAGUGAAGGUCUUCGUAUUCUGAGUGUCAAGGAGUUGCGGACACUCGUGAUAUAGUUAGGUAUUUUAUUUUGUUUUAGUCGUACUAUAAAGAGGGGUUGUCGAUGAUUAGUUUGACCAAGAGAGUUCUAGUGUAGUGUUGGUGCAUAUUCACACUCACAUAUAUUGCUAGGUGACACUCUAGAACAUACUCACAAGUUAGAACGAAAACCGAUUUGAAAAACAGCAGAAAUAGAAAUUAGGGUUUUUGUCUGUGGGGCACCGGACUGUCCGGUGCGUCCUCUCCCAGGUGGGGCUAGAUGGCCCCGGGAAGGGUUUCCCCGCGCGCAGAAACCCGAGAGCGCAAGGUUCACAAGUUGAAUUUUAGUGGCACACCGGACCGUCCAGUGUGCACCGGACAGUGACUGUUCACUGUCCGGUGUGCCAUCUACCCAACAGCUAGCUGUCAGAACUAGCCGUUGGAGUCGACCGUUGGUGCACCGGUGGCGCACCGUUGGCGCACCGGACUGUCCGGUGCGCCCAUGCGCAGAACAUUGCUGGUAACGGCUAGUUGGUGGGUGAGGGCUAUUUAUACCCCCUCCACCCACCAUAUUCAAUGUCUUGCUGCCCACAUUUAUUCUUGCACAUUGGUAGAGCAUUACAAGCACCAAAAGGCUAGUGAGGUGAUUAGAGAAUCUUAAUCUCGCAUUUGGACCUCAUUAGCGCUAGAAAGAGCCACCUAGAGCACACACCACUUACAUUAUGCUUCUCUUGGUCAAGCGAAAGUCUACGGCUUGUUACUCUUGGUGAUCGGCAUCACCUAGACGGCUUGGUGGAGUUGGGAGCUCGGUGAUCACCGUGGAGAUCUUGUUGGUGACCCGACUCAAGUUUGUAAGCGGUCGUAAGGGAUCCACCGUGCCUGAGUGGCAAAGGAUCAUCUCGUAGUGAGCACUUGGUUCUUGCAAGGACCAAGGGGGAGUGAUACCCUUGCGCGGGUGGUCCAACGAGGACUAGUGGAGAGUGCCGACUCUUCGAUACCUCGGGAAAAAAUUGGAGGAGUCUUCUAAACCUUGCUUUACAUUCCGCACUUAAUUCAAGCAUUUUACAUUGUGUAUGUGUUUAGCAAGUAUUUGAAGUAUUGUCUUAGCAUUGUUGUAUUUCCAGUAUUAUUCUCUUAGUGCUAGUUAUUGGGGUGAAGUUGGGCUCUUGCUUAGGUUUUAAUUAGUAUUGAUUUUUAGAAAAGCCCAAUUCACCCCCCCCCCCCUCUUGGGCAUUGUGAUCCUUUCAUCAUCGACUUGAAGUUUGGUAAUAAAAAUUCUUCUUUUUUGGGGAUCUAGCUUGCUCGUGAAUGAACUUUUAAUUUGUUUUCAACAAGUGAUCUUCCCUUAUAGAGAGAGCACAAAAAACUUGAGAUGCUUUGUGAAUGCUUGUACUACAAAGUGGUCUUCUUAGUUAUCAUUAGUUGAGUUUUGGUACAAUACAUCAUACCACUCUUCUUUGUGUAACACUCUUUCCAUUGUAUUGUAUGGCCAUCAUCCCCACCAUUCGGGCGUUGAUGCACCAAGCCCUGGUCAUAAUGUUCAUCUCAAUAGUUCACUUCAAGGCAAAUCUCUGACAGCAACUGAUUAAACAACAUCUUCGUGCUCAACGCAAAAUGAAGCUUCAAGCCGAUAAGAAACUUCCCUUUCAUAGUUUCCAAGUUGGAGAUAAUGUGUAUUAGUCCUUGUUCGGUUAGUAGUGGAUUAGAGAGGAUUAAAUCCAUUCCUAGUCAAAUUAAAUCAUGAAAGGGAUUUAAUCCCCCAAUCCAUGUGUAACUGAAUAAGGCCUUAAAUGAAAAUUUAGCUUGACCAAACAAUAGUGAAUGACAUUUGGAUGGUAGUGACUGUAGAUGAAGAAUACAUGACAGUGAGUGAGUAUAAAAUACAAUUUGAAGGGGACUUUAAUAAUAUCGAAAUCAUGUUGAGAUGGAAAGCUAAAACAGAAUCAAAACGUGAAUUCUUCGCUUGCACAUUGUUUCACAGAAAAGAUCCUCACAGCCAACAAUCUAAUCCUGAAACUCCGACUCACCUUUAUAAAGUUGUCCGUUUACAAAGGAGGCGUGUUUAAACAGUGAUUCACUGAUUUGGUCUCUUGUAGUCUCAACGUGGUCAACAUAACGGGUACCCUUCAUAAGUUUUGGCAGAAAUGUCGAGUCAAAUUUGAUUAAAAAAAUCAAAUAAUUUUUUUUGACAUUAUAGUCUACUUCUAGCGGAACGUUUUAAAAAGCAAAAUAGAAGAAAGUUUUAACAGAAGGAUUGCACUCAAGCCAAGCCACAGUGAUGAUAUUCAUGCGCGGUUGAUUUUCCCCUCCGGAAGAGUACCUCUAAUCUCCCCUUUUGUUAAUCAAUACUUUUAACUGUGAAAUUAAUCAUUUUUAAGUUUAAUUAAUUAAUAACAUUGUGUAUUAUAGUGCUAUAAAUAUUGUAGUAUUUUUUAAAACUCAAAAAGAUAAAUAUCUCCGUUAAAAGAUAAAAGACAGCUAGAUAGGGGAACGGUUAAAAUAAGGUGAAAUAGGGUGAAGAAAAGAUAGGAAUAUUUAAAUAUAAUAAAUGAAUGUCUAUAUUUGGAAAAAGAAACGAUUGAAGCUAGCUAAGGACUUGACAACCCUCUUGUUCUUCUAAUUCAUCGUGUAAUAAAACUUGAGGUAAAUAUGUUGUCGUUCCUUCAAAAAAAACCUUUGAAACGAGUUCUACCUUUGGAAUCUAGUCCGAUUAAACAAGGACGAAAAAUAGCCAUGGCCGUGUUUUAAAGCCCAGAAAAGAGACAAAGGUUGUCGAGGUUUCUGAUUAGGGAUGGAAACAGCUAGACUGUCAUGACAAUACUAAUAUUUUAAAAUAAAUAUGUAUACAAUUUGAUGAUAAUUUUUUCUUAUGUUAGAGUAUCUCCGAUAGUUAUGUAAACAACACCCUAAAUAUGAAUUUAAGAAGUUUUCCGAGAAAACUCCUCUCCAACAGUUAUGUAAAGCAGGUCUUUAAUUUUAUAAACUCCCUACAAAAUUUAAUUUCAUCUCUACAUUUACCAACCUCGUUGUGUCUCCCUAAAUCAAUGUUGGUUCAAAAUCCAUCGUGAAAACCAUAUCCACUGUUUUGUGUCAUCCCACCGUCCCGUUUACCACAAAUCUAUCUCAAGUGUCAUGUGUUGUCUUCAUGCCGUCGCUGCAGUGACCUUCUGGUAUUCCAUUGACAACUUCGACCUUCCAAGACAUUAUGAAAGGUUGUUGAUGUGCUAGCUCAAUUAAAAAUAGAAAACAUGCUCACUUUUUGGUUGAUAUGGAUAAUUUUAAAAAUCAGCAACCAAUAAAUAGAGAACGAUUGGAACACACAUAUUUUCUACUCUUUAAAGUGAUUUAACAACUUCUUAGAUCUAUAAUUUAGGGUGCUAAAUUUACAUAAUUAUUGGAGAUGCUCUUAUCAAGUACAACGUAUAAGAAUAUAACUUUGUAUAAUUUAUUUUUGUCGGGGGCCAUAAUUAGGGGUACCCCCAAGACUCCUAAAUCUCAGCUGGUAACCUCCAUCAGCACAAAGUUGCAAAGGCCUGAUGGGCGCGAUUCAGGUCAAGACUCCGUCCACUCAAAGGACACGAUCCCGCCUCGCCCGAGCCCAACCUCGGGCAAAGGCAGCCGACCCAGGAGGAUUCACGUCUCGCCCGAGGGUCCCCUCAAGCAACGGACGCAACUUCGACUCGCCCGAGGCCCAGCUCGGACAAGCUUCGCGGAGAAGCAACCUUGGUCAGAUCGUCACGCCAACCGACCGUAUCGCAGGAGCAUUUAAUGUAAGGAUUGACUGACACCUUAUCCUGACGCGCGCUCCUCAGUCGAUAGGGCCGAAGUGACCGCAGUCACUUCGCCGCUCCACUGACCGACCUGACAGGAAAACAGCGCUGCCUGCCCUGCUCCGACUGUUGUGCCACUCGAUAGAGUGAGGCUGACAACAGCUAAGUCCAGCCUCGGGCGCCAUAGGAAGCUCCGCCUUGCCCGACCCCAGCGCUCGGACUCUACCUCGACGCCGAAAGACGGACUCCGCCUCGCCCGACCCUAGGGCUCGGACCCAGCCUCGACUCCGGACGACGGACUCCGCCUCGCCCGACCCCAGGGCUCGGACUCAGCCUCGACCUCGGACGACGGACUCCGCCUCGCCCGACCCCAAGGCUCGGACUCGACCUCGACCUCGGAGGAGCCUCCGCCUCGCCCGACCUCGGGCUCAGACCGACCACGUCACAGGGGGGCAUCAUUACCCUACCCCUAGCUAGCUCAGGCUACGGGGAACAAGACCGGCGUCCCAUCUGGCUCGCCCCGGUAAACAAGUAAUGAUGGCACCCGCGUGCUCCAUGACGACGGCGGCUCUCAGCCCCUUACGGAAGCAAGGAGACGUCAACAAGGAUCCGACAGCCCCGACAGCUGUACUUCCACAGGGCUCAAGCACUCCUCCGACGGCCACGACAUCACAUGAACAGGGCACCAAAACCUCUCUGACUGCCACGACGGCAUGUACUUAGGGCUCUAGCUCCUCUCUGCUAGACACGUUAGCACAUUGCUACACCCCCCAUUGUACACCUGGGCCCUCUCCUUACGCCUAUAAAAGGAAGGUCCAGGGCUCUCGUACGAAAAGGUUGGCCGCGCGGGAGAACGGACUGGCGGACAGUCUCUCUCUCUCUCUGAAAGGGAAAUGUGCCCUUGGGCCAUUUCUAAGUAUUUUGGUGAUUAAGUGUCCAACACAAGUGCCUAAGUGUUAAAUUGUGCCAAGGACUCAAGAAGUGCAAAUCAAGAUUAAAGGUAUGUUUCUAGACUUAGUACAUUGUUUUGAAGACUAAUGUAUUGUGUCUAAGUACCAGAAACAGGAGAAAUAAUUUUGGAGAAGUUCGCUGUGAACAGCCAAAAGGCUGCUCGGCCUGGGUGCACCGGACUGUCCGGUGGUGCACCGGACAGUGUCCGGUGCGCCAGGCUGGCAUCUGUCAACUGGCUGCUCUCGGGACUUCGACGGCGGUGUACGGCUAUAAAUCACCGGACUGUCCGGUGGUGCACCGGACUGUCCGGUGAGCCAACAGUCAGCCCAGCCAACGGUUGGCCUCGUAAUCCGCGCGCGACGCGUGGCAGAGCCAACGGUUAGAAGGGGGCACCGGACUGUCCGGUGUGCACCGGACAGUGUCCAGUGCGCCAACGGCUCUGAACCGCCAACGGUCGGCUUCGCCAAAGAAGGAAAGAAAUCUGCACCGGACAGUGUCCGGUGGUGCACCGGACUGUCCGGUGCGCCAGGCGAUAGAAGGCAAGAAUUGCCUUCCUAGAAUGCUCUCAACGACUCCUAGCUGCCUUGGGGCUAUAAAAGGGACCCCUAUGCGCAUGGAGGAGUACACCAAGCAUUCUCUAAGCAUUCCUAAGCACCAAGACUUCAAUUCCGCGCAUUCGAUUCUUUGUGAUAGCAACUAGAGCUCCAUUUGAGUAGAGAACUCUUUGAGUUGUGUUGAGAGCUCGUGUUGUGACUUGUGUGCGUAUUGUCGCUCUGAUUUUGUGUCUUGUGUGCGUUGCUCAUCCCUCCCUUACUCUGUGCUUCUUUGUGAACAUCAAAGUGUAAGGGCGAGAGGCUCCAAGUUGUGGAGAUUCCUCGCAAGCGGGAUAUAGUAAAAAAGCAAAACACCGUGGUAUUCAAGUGGGUCUUUGGACCGCUUGAGAGGGGUUGAUUGCAACCCUCGUCCGUUGGGACGCCACAACGUGGAGUAGGCAAGUGUUGAACUUGGCCGAACCACGGGAUAAACCAAUGUGUCUAUCUAUGUUGAUCUUCUUGUGGUUAUCGUGUCUUGCAAGAACUCUUCUCUAGCCACUUGGCUUUAUUGUGCUAACUCCUAAUCAAGUUUUGUGGCAUUAAAGUUCAAGUUUUACAGGAUCACCUAUUCACCCCCCCCCUCUAGGUGCUCUCAAUUGGUAUCAGAACCGUUCUCUUCAAGAAAGGGACUAAUCGCCCGAAGAGAUGGAUCCUAAGGGCAAGGGGAUGGUGGUCAAUGAUAAGGAGAAGGAGUCCUUCGUCAAUGAUCCAAAGGAUGACAAGCCUACUGACUCAGGCUCGGGCCACAAAAGAAAAGACGGGAGGAAGAAGAAAACAAGGCGCAUCAAGGAGAUAGUCUACUACGACAGCGACGAAUCUUCCUCUUCCCAAAAGGACAACGACAACGACAACGACUACGAGAAAAAGAAGACGGUUAAUUCAAACUUUUCCUUUGAUUAUUCUCGUAUUCCGCAAAGUUCUAAUGCUCAUUUACUUUCCAUUCCCCUCGGUAAACCCCCCCCCCACUUUGAUGGAGAGGACUACGGAUUUUGGAGUCACAAAAUGCGUAGCCACUUGUUCUCUCUCCAUCCAAGUAUAUGGGAGAUAGUGGAAAACGGAAUGCACUUUGACAGUACGGAUAGUCCCAUGUUCAUUAAUGAGCAAAUUCAUAAAAAUGCACAAGCUACUACUGUUCUUCUAGCUUCAUUGUGCAGGGAUGAAUACCAUAAGGUGAGCGGCUUGGAUAACGCCAAGCAGAUGUGGGACACCCUCAAAAUCUCACAUGAGGGGAACGACGUCACCAUGCUCACCAAGAUGGAAUUGGUGGAGGGCGAACUUGGGAGAUUCGCAAUGAUCAGGGGCGAGGAGCCAACCCAAACAUACAACCAGCUCAAGACCCUCGUCAACAAAAUAAGGAGCUAUGGAAGCACUCGAUGGACGGACCACGACGUCGUCCGCCUAAUGCUAAGGUCUUUUACUGUCCUCGAUCCACAUCUUGUGAACAAUAUUCGUGAGAAUCCUAGGUACACCAAGAUGACGCCCGAGGAGAUACUUGGAAAGUUUGUAAGCGGGCGGAUGAUGAUCAAGGAGGCUAGAUACGUUGACGAUGCGUUGAAUGGCCCAAUCCAAGAGCCUCAAACCAUUGCUCUCAAAGCAACGAGGAGCAAGGAGACGCUACCUAGCAAGGUGGCACAAGUUGAGGCGGUCGGGCUUAAUGAUGAAGAGAUGGCACUCAUCAUUAAGCGUUUCAAUACGACGCUAAGGGGUCGCAAGGAGCAUCCAAAUAAGACCAAGACGAAAGGGAAGCGCUCAUGCUUCAAAUGUGGUAAGAUUGGUCAUUUUAUCGCAAACUGUCCCGAUAAUGAUAGUGACCAGGAACAAGGGAACAAGAGGGAAAAGAAGAAGGCUUACAAGAAGGCCAAGGGCGAGGCACACCUUGGAAAGGAGUGGGACUCGGAUUGUUCGUCGUCCGACUCCGACAACGAAGGACUCGCCGCCACCGCCUUCAACAAGUCGGCCCUCUUCCCUAAUGAGCAUCACACCUGCCUCAUGGCAAGGGAAAAGAAGGUAAGCACUCGUGAUACUAGUACUUACGCUUCCUCAAGUGAUGAAGAAUCUAGAGUUGAUGAAAUAGACUAUUCAUGUUUAUUCAAGGGCCUAGAUAGAACUAAGGUUGAUAAGAUUAAUGAAUUAAUUGAUGCCUUGAAUGAUAAAAAUAGGCUAUUAGAAAAGCAAGAGGAUCUUUUGUAUGAAGAACAUGAUAAGUUUGUAGAGGCACAAAAAUCCCUUGCUUUAGAAAUUAAAAGGAAUGAAGUGCUUUCUUAUGAAUUGUCUACAUGUCAUGACUCUAUUUCUAGCUUAAAGAGCAUAAAUGAUGAUUUGAGUGCUAAGUUAGAAAUAGCUAAUAAAUCAACAUCUUGUGUAGAACAUGUUGUAGUUUGCAAUAGGUGUAAAGAUUUUAAUGUUGAUGCUUGUAGUGAACACCUAGUUUCAAUUUCUAAAUUGAAUGAUGAAGUGGCUAGUCUUAAUGCCCAACUUAAGACUAGCAAGAGUGAAUUUGACAAACUAAAAUUUGCAAGGGAUGCCUACACGAUUGGUAGACACCCCUCAAUUAAGGAUGGUCUUGGCUUCAAGAGGGAAGUCAAGAACUUAACAAGCCAUAAGGCUUCCAUCUCCGCCAAGGAGAAAGGGAAGGCCCCUAUGGCUAGUAGUGCUCAAAAGAACCAUGCUUUCAUGUAUCAUGAUAGGAGACAUUUUAGGAAUGCUUAUAGAAGUUAUGAUGCUUUUGAUUCUCAUACCAUGAUUGCUUCUAGUUCUUCUAUUAUGCAUGAUAGAAAUUUGGCUAAUAAAAAUGUUGUUCAUCAUAUGCCUAGAAUAAAUAUUGUUCAUGUUCCUAGGAAAGUAAUGAAUGAACCUUCUACAGUUUAUUAUGCUUGCAAUACUUCCUUUGCUAUUUGUAGAAAGGAUAAGAAGGUAAUUGCUAGGAAAUUAGGGGUCAAAUGUAAGGGAGACAAGACUUGCAUUUGGGUCCCUAAGACUAUUGUAACUAACCUUGUAGGACCCAACAUGAGUUGGGUACCUAAGACCCAAGCCUAAAUUUGCCUUGCAGGUUUAUGCAUCCGGGGGCUCAAGCUGGAUUAUCGACAGCGGAUGCACAAACCACAUGACGGGGGAAAAGAGGAUGUUCUCUUCCUACGUCAAGAACAAGGAUCCCCAAGAUUCAAUCAUAUUCGGUGAUGGGAACCAAGGCAAGGUGAAAGGGUUAGGAAAAAUUGCUAUUUCAUCCGAGCACUCUAUUUCUAAUGUGUUCUUAGUUGAGUCGCUUGGAUAUAACUUGUUGUCUGUGAGUCAACUUUGUAAUAUGGGAUAUAACUGUUUAUUCACAAAUGUAGAUGUGUCUGUCUUUAGAAAAAGUGAUGGUUCAUUAGCUUUUAAGGGUAUACUAGACGGCAAACUUUAUUUAGUUGAUUUUGCAAAAGAGGAGGCCGGUCUAGAUGCAUGCUUAAUUGCUAAGACUAGCAUGGGCUGGUUGUGGCAUCGUCGUUUAGCACAUGUGGGGAUGAAGAACCUUCACAAGCUUCUAAAGGGAGAACACGUGAUAGGUCUAACUAAUGUAACUUUCAAAAAAGAUAGACCUUGUGCAGCUUGUCAAGCAGGUAAACAGGUGGGAAGCUCUCAUCAUGCCAAAAAUGUGAUGACAACAUCAAGACCCCUAGAGUUACUUCAUAUGGACCUCUUCGGACCCGUCGCCUAUCUAAGCAUAGGAGGAAGUAAGUAUGGUCUUGUUAUAGUUGAUGAUUUUUCCCGCUUCACUUGGGUAUUCUUUUUGCAGGAUAAAUCUGAAACCCAAGGGACCCUCAAGCGCUUCCUAAGGAGAGCCCAAAACGAGUUUGAGCUCAAAGUGAAGAAGAUAAGGAGCGACAAUGGGUCCGAGUUCAAGAAUCUUCAAGUGGAGGAGUAUCUUGAGGAUGAAGGAAUCAAGAACGAGUUCUCCGCACCCUACACACCAUAGCAAAAUGGUGUGGUAGAGAGGAAGAACAGGACGCUACUAGACAUGGCGAGGACGAUGCUUGGUGGAUUCAAGACGCUCGAACGGUUUUGGACGGAAGCCGUGAGCACGGCUUGCCAUGCCAUAAACCGGGUCUACCUUCAUCGCCUCCUCAAGAAGACUUCAUAUGAGCUUCUAACCGGUAACAAACCCAAUGUGUCUUACUUUCGUGUAUUUGGGAGCAAAUGUUACAUUCUAGUAAAGAAAGGUAGGAAUUCUAAGUUUGCUCCCAAAGCUGUAGAAGGGUUUUUGUUAGGUUAUGACUCAAAUACAAAGGCGUAUAGGGUCUUCAACAAAUCAUCGGGUUUGGUUGAAGUCUCUAGCUACGUUGUAUUUGAUGAGACUAAUGGCUCUCCAAGAGAGCAAGUUGUUGAUCUUGAUGAUGUAGAUGAAGAAGACGUUCCAACGACCGCAAUGCGCACCAUGGCGAUUGGAGAUGUGAGGCCACUGGAACAAAAGGAGCAAGAUCAACCUUCUUCCUCAACAAUGGUGCAUCCCCCAACUCAAGAAGAUGAACAGGUUCAUCAAGAGGAGGCGUGUGAUCAAGGGGGAGCACAAGAUGAUCAUUUAAUGGAGGAAGAAGCGCAAUCGGCACCUCCAACCCAAGUUCGAGCGACGAUUCAAAGGAAUCAUCCUGUCGACCAAAUAUUGGGUGACAUAAGCAAGGGAGUAACUACUCGUUCUAGAUUAGUUAAUUUUUGUGAGCAUUACUCCUUUGUCUCUUCUAUUGAACCUUUCAGGGUAGAAGAGGCCUUGCUAGAUCCGGACUAGGUGUUGGCCAUGCAAGAGGAGCUCAACAACUUCAAAAGGAAUGAAGUUUGGACACUAGUGCCUCGUCCAAAGCAAAAUGUUGUGGGAACCAAGUGGGUGUUCCGCAACAAACAAGACGAGCACGGAGUGGUGACAAGGAACAAGGCUAGACUUGUGGCAAAAGGUUAUGCCCAAGUCGCAGGUUUGGACUUUGAGGAGACUUUUGCUCAUGUGGCUAGGCUAGAGUCAAUUCGCAUAUUGUUAGCCUAUGCUACUCACCUUUCUUUCAGGUUGUUUCAAAUGGAUGUGAAAAGCGCUUUCCUCAACGGGCCAAUCAAGGAGGAGGUGUACGUGGAGCAACCCCCUGGCUUUGAGGAUGAACGGUACCCCGACCACGUGUGUAAGCUCUCUAAGGCGCUCUAUGGACUUAAGCAAGCCCCAAGAGCAUGGUAUGAAUGCCUUAGAGACUUUUUAAUUGCUAAUGCUUUCAAGGUUGGGAAAGCCGGUCCAACUCUUUUUACUAAGACUUGUGAUGGUGACUUAUUUGUGUGCCAAAUUUAUGUCGAUGACAUAAUAUUUGGUUCUACUAACCAAAAGUCUUGUGAAGAGUUUAGCAGGGUGAUGACUCAGAAAUACGAGAUGUCAAUGAUGGGUGAGUUAAGUUAUUUCCUUGGGUUCCAAGUGAAGCAACUCAAGGAUGGGACCUUCAUCUCCCAAACAAAGUACACGCAAGACUUGAUCAAGCGGUUUGGGAUGAAGGACGCCAAGCCCGCAAAGAUUCCAAUGGGAACCGACGGACACACCGACCUCAACAAAGGAGGUAAGUCCGUUGAUCAAAAGGCAUACCGGUCUAUGAUAGGGUCCUUACUUUAUUUAUGUGCUAGUAGACCGGAUAUUAUGCUUAGGGUAUGCAUGUGUGCUAGAUUUCAAUCCGAUCUAAGGGAGUGUCACUUAGUGGCCGUGAAGCGAAUUCUUAGAUAUUUAGUCGCUACGCCUUGCUUCGGGAUCUGGUAUCCAAAGGGGUCUACCUUUGACUUAAUUGGAUAUUUAGACUCCGAUUAUGCUAGAUGUAAGGUCGAUAGGAAGAGUACAUCAGGAACGUGCCAAUUCUUAGGAAGGUCCCUGGUGUCGUGGAGUUCUAAGAAACAAACCUCCGUUGCCCUAUCCACCGCUGAGGCCGAGUAUGUUGCCGCAGGACAGUGUUGCGCGCAACUACUUUGGAUGAGGCAAACCCUCAGGGACUUUGGCUACAAUCUGAGCAAAGUCUCACUCCUAUGUGAUAAUGAGAGUGCUAUCCGCAUGGCAGAUAAUCCUGUUGAACACAGCCGCACAAAGCAUAUUGACAUCCGGCAUCACUUUUUGAGAGACCACCAGUAAAAGGGAGAUAUCGAAGUGUUUCAUGUUAGUACCGAGAACCAGCUAGCCGAUAUCUUUACCAAGCCUCUAGAUGAGUCGACCUUUUGCAAGCUAUGUAGUGAGCUAAAUGUCUUAGAUUCGCGGAACCUGGAUUGAUUUAUAGCAUUCAUGUGUUUUAUGCCUUGAUCAUGUUCCUUAAUGCAUUUUGUUGUUUUAUGGUGCUCAAGUUGUACAAGCACUCCCCGGACCUCACAAGUCCAUUUGCAAGUGAUGCACAUAUUUAGGGGGAGAUGUGCUACAACUUGACUCUUUGAGACUAACUGUGUGCUUGAGUUUGCUUAAUUUAGUCUCAAAGGAGGGUUGAAAGGGAAAAGGUGGACUUGGACCAUGCAAGACUUCCACUGCACUCCGAUGAGAGAGUAACUCACUCCAAGUUCAUCCAUGUACUCUUAUUGUCUGUUUACUCUUAGUUGAAGAUUUUGGUGAGGCAAUGGGGUUAAAGGGCCAAAAUUAAUCAUGUUUUGGUGCUUGAUGCAAAAGGGAGAGAAAAUAAGGCCAAAGCAAGAAAUGGAUCAGCUACCACUUGAGAAUUUUGAAAAUAGUAGAGUUAGAGCUUUUGUUUGUCAAAAUACUCUUGUUUGUCUCUUAUUGUCAAAAGAUUGGUCUCUUGUGGGGAGAAGGCUGGAUUAUGGGAAAAAGGGGGAGUUUUUGAAUCUUUGAUCAACUUCUCAUGAAAUAUCUCUCUUUAUGUUUCAACAAGUGUGUUUGACUUAGAGAUAGGAAAUUGAGGUUGAUUUGCAAAAACAAACCAAGUGGUGGCAAAGAAUGAUCCAAAUAUGCCAAAUUUGAAUCAAAACAAAUUUGAGUUUUCAUUUGCAUUGAUGUUGCACUUCUUUUAGUUGCUUUUUAUUGUGUUGGCAUAAAUCACCAAAAAGGGGGAGAUUGAAAGGGAAAUGUGCCCUUGGGCCAUUUCUAAGUAUUUUGGUGAUUAAGUGUCUAACACAAGUGCCUAAGUGUUAAAUUGUGCCAAGGACUCAAGAAGUGCAAAUCUAGAUUAAAGGUAUGUUUCUAGACUUAGUACAUUGUUUUGAAGACUAAUGUAUUGUGUCUAAGUACCAGAAACAGGAGAAACAAUUUUGGAGAAGUUGGCUGUGAACAGCCAAAAGGCUGCUCGGUCUGGGUGCACCGGACUGUCCGGUGGUGCACCGGACAGUGUCCGGUGCGCCAGGCUGGCGUCUGUCAACUGGCUGCUCUCGGGACUUCGACGGCGGUGUACGGCUAUAAAUCACCGGACUGUCCGGUGGUGCACCGGACUGUCCGGUGGUGCACCGGACUGUCCGGUGAGCCAACAGUCGGCCCAGCCAACGGUCGGCCGCGUAAUCCGCGCGCGACGCGUGGCAGAGCCAACGGUCAGAAGGGGGCACCGGACUGUCCGGUGUGCACCGGACAGUGUCCGGUGCGCCAACGGCUCUGAACUGCCAACGGUCGGCUUCGCCAAAGAAGGAAAGAAAUCCGCACCGGACAGUGUCCGGUGGUGCACCGGACAGUGUCCGGUGGUGCACCGGACUGUCCGGUGCGCCAGGCGACAGAAGGCAAGAAUUUCCUUCUUGGAAUGCUCUCAACGGCUCCUAGCUGCCUUGGGGCUAUAAAAGGGACCCUUAGGCGCAUGGAGGAGUACAACAAGCAUUCUCUAAGCAUUCCUAAGCACCAAGACUUCAAUUCUGCGCAUUCGAUUCUUUGUGAUAGCAACUAGAGCUCCAUUUGAGUAGAGAGAACUCUUUGAGUUGUGUUGAGAGCUCGUGUUGUGACUUGUGUGCGUAUUGUCGCUCUGAUUUUGUGUCUUGUGUGCGUUGCUCAUCCCUCCCUUACUCUGUGCUUCUUUGUGAACAUCAAAGUGUAAGGGCGAGAGGCUCCAAAUUGUGGAGAUUCCUCGCAAGCGGGAUAUAAUAAAAAAGCAAAACACCGUGGUAUUCAAGUGGGUCUUUGGACCGCUUGAGAGGGGUUGAUUGCAACCCUCGUCCGUUGGGACGCCACAACGUGGAGUAGGCAAGUGUUGGACUUGGCCGAACCACGGGAUAAACCACUGUGUCUAUCUGUGUUGAUCUUCUUGUGGUUAUCGUGUCUUGCAAGAACUCUUCUCUAGCCACUUGGCUUUAUUGUGCUAACUCCUAAUCAAGUUUUGUGGCAUUAAAGUUCAAGUUUUACAGGAUCACCUACUCACCCUCCCCCCCUCUAGGUGCUCUCACUCUCUCCCUCGUGGACGCUUGUAACCCCCUACUGCAAGCGCACCUGGCCUGGGCGCAGGACAACACGGAGGCCGCGGGGUUCCCCUUUGUUGUUUCUCCCUCCUUUGUGCUCCGUCUCGCGCCGACCCAUCUGGGCUGGGACACGCGGCGACAAUUUACUCGUCGGUCCAGAGACCCCCGAGGUCGAAACGCCGACAAUUUUAAAUAUUAUUUUUUUUUUCUCUACAACAAAAAAUAAAAAUUAUCUAUAUCAUCUAUCAUUCGAGAAAAUAUAUGAUAAAUUUAAGUUUUACUUUUUAUAAUACUUUAUAAGCUCAAUGCUAAAAACAUGAAUCUGUAUUUUAUAUUCUAUUUAUUUACAAUCAAUGAAAUAAAUAAAAAAAUUAUAUCUAAGUAUCCGUUUUCAUCCUUAUUUAUUUACAAAUCUAAUGGCUUGUUUGGAAGUAGUGUAAUGGACGAGAUUAAGAGGAUUUAAAUUCCUCACUAUUUAAAAAUGGAUAAUGAGGAAUUAUAGCCCUCUCUAUCUUCUCCAUUAUUUCUUUCGUAAAUCACAAAUUACAAAACAAGUCUUGGUAAAUCGUUGUGAGUCCAUGCUGAUACUUCAAACAAGUUCCUCCCUC
rnacentral:lncRNA from 1 species